AUCAAGUCAGUAUGUAGCUCUCUGCAAACACAUGCAACAAUUAUAGGGCAAGCAGGAAAGAAGAGAGAUGGGUAAGUGUUCUGAUCAGUUACUCUAAAUACAAUUUUGCUGUAUAUUUGCUCUUUCUUGACAGUCUGUUUCUAAGCUAGGGAAUCAAGGCGUAUCUGUGUAGAGUUCAUCUUCUGUGGAAUAUUUCUUUGUGGGAUACAGCAAAAUGUACCCCAGCAUUCAGUCUCCUCCAGUAGGUAACUAAUAGAAUAAUCAUCAGAAUAUAUCCUCUUAUUUUCCUUAACACAUGAACAUCGUGAAUUCUCAAAGAUUUCUUUCCUCCGUUGCUAGUCUGUCCUGGUUCUGGCAGAAAUACACACCAUGCCUUCUAUUUCCUAUUUUAACUGAGUCUUCACCGGGACAAUUGAAACGUUUAUUUCUCAAUUAAACAAGUAUAAAUCUUGAGUAUGUCUACUGAAGUUACUGUAACUGGACUGGCACAAAUAAUGGCAUACAGAAGAGGAGAAUCCACCCUUCUUUAUGUUCUUUUUUUAAGCAUAUGAGAACCCUGGUCCCUCACUGUAAGUAUGUACUGAAUUUUUAAUUCGUCAGUUAUAUUUUGAAGAUAACAAAUAACAGGUAAAUAUGAAAAAAUGUUACCAAUAAACAGUUCUGUCUCACCUGGAACCUGAUUUGUCUACAUUACAGAAAGGCAGUUCCUUAAAUCUUGGUUGCUUGCCAUGUACUUCUAUCGAUGCUAACAUAUAUGCAAAAAUAUACUUUUAUAUGCAUGAAUUGUAUACAUUAUUAUUGUAGUGCAGUGUUAUCACCAAGAAAAAAAUAAUAGAAGAUGUGAACUUGUGAACUAGAUAACCUUUCAAAAUAUAAUCAGUGUAAUAUUUUCUAAAUCUUGUCUCUAGUGGAGAGUAUUUUGUGUUAAGCAACCACUUUAAAGUAAUCCCAUAGCGUUUUGUUUUGUCAGUGCUUAAAAAGUCAGCUUUAAUAGAUGGCUGAUUUUUGCAAAUCUUUUGAUGGUAAUUUAAAAUGGGUUUAAAUAUACAGCCGUAAGGGUAAAACCCAAGACCACAUAGACUGGUGGAGAGAUGAUGGACAAAUUAGGCCUAUCACGCACCUACAGACAUAUUCUUAUUGGAUUAUACUUACUAAGAAUAAACCUUGUUCUGUGCAACUGCUUUGGCAGAUGCUAUGAUCCUGUGAGCCAAAUCCUGCUGUCCUUAGUCUUACUUGAGCAAAACUCCUGUCAGAUUCAGUGGGGAUUUUGCCUCAGUAAGAGUGGCAGGAUUUGACCCUCUCUUCCAGUGGUGAUGGGAUGGUUCCUUCCUUGCCAAAAUUCUCAUGUAGGCGACCACUAGAAGCAAAUAUUUCAAGGUUAAACUGUAAUGUUUAGAUAUACUGUAGAAAGAAUGCCUGAAUAUGGCAUCUUUUGAAAGGGACUGUGCUGCUUAACAUAUUUUUUAGGAAGUUAAGUCUCCAUAUCACUGGUAAUCUACUGUACAGAUACACUGAGCAAUUGUUUGGAAAUAGAACAGUGGUACCAAGAGUACAUACAGGUCAGUUGGUUUAUACCUUUUAAAUUUUGAGGACACCAUUGCAUGUCCAUGAACAUAUAUAGUUAAAAAUCUACUGUGUGGCUUCUGAGACUGCAUGAGGAAAUUAAGUGACUCUUCUACAAAUAAGUUAUUAUGUCAGUUACCAAAAUUGUGUGCAGAUUUACAGUGUUUCUGCACACGAUUUUGGUAACUGAGGUAAUUAAGUUACACAAUUCAGCUGCACAUUGUGAAUCAGAUUUUUUCCAUGGAUGAUCAUUUUCAACGGGUGCAAAACAAUUCCACAGGCUUCCACAGUCAGAAUUUUGUAAAUUGGCUUCCCUAAAAGGUACGUAACUUUUUCUGAAAGUUCUCCAAUGACAAAAUAACAAAUUCCUACGAAAAGAAAGUUCCUUUGUUAGUCCCACUCCUGGGCAUAUCAUAGUUCUUCACUCUUAGAGGGUGAGUUUUUCUGUCAAAACACAUCAGAAUUUCUGCUUUUUUAAACUUACUGAACUUUUUCAUCUAGGAGACAACUUAUCUUCUUUUCAGGUAUUGUUUACCGACAACCUGAAAGAAUCUACAAGGGUGUUUUGUUUUUCUGCCUGCAUUAGUGGCCACUUCUAAAACUGUACCUGGAAUACAGAGAUUUUUGGUUUUCUCUUGUUGUUUUUGGAAGGUAUUUUUGGAGACAGGUGUUACUGUUUUACCUAUAGGAAUGGCUGGAGAUGAGUUCUCGGCUUUGGAUUUGACAAUAUCCAUUAUGUACAGAAUGUGAAGAAAGAUGAUAUACUUACUACUUUCAUGUGUAAAGUGGUGUAAAUUUAUUGAUUAGUAUGGACUUAGAGCAGGAAUUAUUUCAGCUCAGUGUAUCUUAAUUUUUCUUUAUAUACAGACAAGGAUUUCAGUCCCAUGCAGCAUGUCAGAGAUCAUGCUGCAGUAAAUCUAUUCAAAUGUAAACCUGUUCAAUUCAAUUACCAGUUUAUAAUAAAAUUUGCUGCUACAGCCUCCAUGUUUGUCACAGCAGUCUCUACAUGCUGAUGGCACAGCAUGCCUGGAAAUUGACAGCCUAAAUCUAUUUACAAAAAAAUUUAGUUGCAGACCUGAAAUAAAAUCAAGUUUAAGCAGCUUUGAGAGGAGUAUCAUAUUCUUUACAAGAACUUCUGCACAUCUGCCAGUGUGCAUCUUCUUCAGAAAUCUUAUCCUGUUAGUGGGGAGUGUUCUUCUAGAAAUUUUCCUUGACAAAGUUUUUAAAUGUAAUCCUAGGUGAAACAAUUAUCAGACACUGCGCUUCCCUUCACAUUUGGAAGGACCUCAUUACAUUGUCAUUUUGUGAAUUGUCGUAUAAAAUUCAUUAUAGAAACCACAGUGCCUGGAAGAAGAUCAUGAGUUUUAUUUUAUCUUUUAGGGGAAGGUCUGAAAACCACUUACAGCAAAUAUAUAGAGUGGCUUCUCUUACAACAGCUACAUGCUAAAUCAUUUAUUGUGGGAAGAUAACGGUGAUUUUCAUCCAUCAUCCAGUGUUCCUGUGAGAGAUCUAGUGUUAGAAGCUUGGGGCUGUGUCUUGGGUCAAACGCUGGGAAGGAAUCAGAUUUCCGGUCACACAAAAUACAGGAUAGAAUGGGGAAUUUUUGCACUUAUUUUCAAGGAUGUCAACAGGACAUAGCCAGCAACACUGAGGUCAAGAUUCUGAACAAAUUAGAAGCUGUGGGCCAGAAGCUGGACAAGGAAGGGUAAAGCAAUGUCAUACUGGGCUGAGCUGGCAUGGGAUUGAAGUCUUGGCUCCUGACUGCAUCUUCUGUUGAGUAGCACAAGAAAGUUACUACAGACUGAUCCAGAGGAACGCUUUGUUUUGGUUUAGUCAAUGGACUGUUACUUGAAAACAUAAGUGUAGGUGUAUGGAGGGUUUUUGAGUUUGUGUUAUGCUUCAUACUGAAGCAUUUGACAGAUGCUGAUGAGCUUUUAAGCACAUGACAAAUAUGUGGGUGUCACAUUUUCAUUUACUUUCCUAGGUAUGGUUAUUACCAGCACAGCAGAAUACACUUUACUCAAAUAAGAAGUUUUACUUUUUUUGAUUUUUAAUUUUGUGUGUCAGUAUUGUGAAAAAGUAGAUUGUCAAGGAUCACAAUUGGUUCUUCUGAAAUGCAGUUUCUUUGACUGUGCUUAUGUUUUGGUGGAUUCUCUCAGGUCCACAAGAACGGAUAUACCAAAGGCUCUUGUGUAGUCUAGGGAGUAACUUUUCAAAGUUUUUCCCUACUCUUCAAAUCCUUAAUGAUUUAUUUAAAUAAUAUUGCAAUUGCUAAAUAGGGGUGGGGGAAACCAAUUCUUUUAAAAAUGAAUGCUCUAAGACACUCUCUUGUUUUCAGUUCUGUUGGUUUAUAAUCAGUCUUUUAAGUGUGGCCUUUGAAACACAUUGGAAGUUGGUGAGUAGUUUAGUUCAGUUGGUAGACUCAAAUCCAUAGUCUUGUACAAGAUUGUGUGGUUUAGUUAUUUUUUAUACAGCUGUUUGCGGGGAGAAAAAAGGGGUUGAUUUUUUGCUUUUCUGAGAAGGAAAAUUGGACGUAAACCACAUAAUUUGAUAUGGGAAAUCACGGGUAGAUAUCCGACACUUUUUUUCUCCCCUAUUGCCAGUUGGUCUGGUUGAAUUCUACUUUUAGUAUGCUGCUAAUACUGUGUGCCUUUUAAUAUUAUCUGUGAGACUACUUACUAGCAUGUGUCUGUGUUAGAAGAUAUUAUUCUAAGUGUAUUGUACCACAGAUCUUGCUCAGAAUAGCUGCCCAUGUGAAAUAAUUCCACUAGAGUAAUUAUUCCAAAAUAAAAUUACUUUUUCUUUCAGAUGCAGUGUUCAAGUAACUGUUUUUUCAAGAGGUUAUUCCAUAUGCUUCAGUUUUCUCUGUGCACGCAAAGACACAGACUCAGUUUUGUCUGUCCCUAUAUUGUCGCAAGGUUCAAAUACUGAGUGGCACUAACGCAGCUUUUAGACUACCUGAAAUAUUGUAUCCUGUCUUAGCUCUUCCAUUUCUGAGCAGAGCUAGUUCAUACUUCUUACAGGCAUGUUGACACCAAAAUAUCUCCCAUACGUCUCUCAUCUCUACUACCUCGAUGUUUACAGAAUUUUUGAUGUGUUGCUUGCAGUGGCUGAUCAGCAUUGCUUGUUAUUUCAGAAAGUGUAGUUCGUAAGUAGGUGAUGUAAGAAAACAAAUUUAAGUUUAUUUGAAAAGUAAAUUAUACCAUAAUGAUGUGGCAGAAAAUGUGGGUUGCUUCACCUAUGUUUGUAUUUUUCUGACGAAUGGAUGGCUUUUACAAACUAUCAUCAGCCACUUUGUAUCCAGUUAGAACAAGCAGUAUGACAGAAUUUCAGCUUAACUAGUCCAGCUAUUAAAAAUAGGAGGCCAGAUCCUCACCGUAGUAUUAAUGGAAGUUGGUGGAACUACAUUAGAUUGGUGUUCAUUUGACAGGUAUAGCAAUCUAUGCUAUGGGGAAAUCAGCAACAUACCUUUUUGUGUCUCUGAGUCUUUACUGUUGCUAGUAUGUUAGCAGUCAUUCAGGCUUUAAAAAUGAAUCAAAACUCUUCAAGCUCAACAUCUGGCAAUGCUGACUUUAGUGUAACCCUUCCCAUUGUAGUAGUGCAGUUAUGUUUUUCUUACGUUCCUCGCCAAAUAGCCCUUAAUGUUUCUCAUUCAUUAGUUGGCUUGGUUUGUUUUUUAAAAAGGUUUUAUGUAGUCCCUCAAAGUGACUCCAGCAUCCAUAGGGCAUUGUUAAGGCAGUAAUCAGAAUCUGUCUUGUGUAUAAACAAAUUCUGUAUUUUAAGUUUUUUUUCUUUCAGCACUGCUCUGAAUAAAAGCACUUGCUGUCAGUUUGUAGCAUGUUUGAGCAUUUCAGAGCGUCGCAGUACUGUAACCAGAAGAUUAUUACACAUUAGUUGAACUUUUUCUUAACGUGCUGAAAUUGGGGUUCUCUAAAGUGUUUUUUGCUUCACACUUUGAAAGAUUUCAUUAAUUCAAAUAUAAAAAUACAUUUUUAGAGAGGUAUGUGUAUUUUAAAGCAAAAAUUACUGAGCGUAUUUUGCCCAGAUUACUGUAUGAACAUCUUUGUCUUGUGUUAAGCAGCAGAUCGGAUUAAAUUAUCAUAUUGAUCCUUUCUGCUUUUGACAAUCUAUGAAAAUGAAUCCGAUACAGCAAGGAGAACAGGCAGCUUGAGUUUACUCUUAUGUAAAGAGAUGUAUGAUAUGCACAGGAGCAGAUUAAUGGAUUCACUCUCAAAAUAAUAAAUAAACUAAGCAAUCCUCUCUUUAUAACUAAAAAUGUGUUAUCACCUAUGUUUUGAGGCUAGCGAAAAAGCCUGCUUAAUAGGAUUCCUCCUAACAACAUCUCCUUCGAAAAGACCUGCGUGUAAGACAUUGCCAGGGUAAAUUUCUCUCACAAGUCUAAUACCAUUAGUUUGCCAAGAAGAAAGCAGAAAUUAUUGUGGAGGAAGUUUUAGUUUCUGCUGCCUUCAGAAAUUAGAACAAAGGGAAGGAGAAAGCGUUAAUGGUAUUCAAAGAAAAUAUUUCUGCACAGGAUGACAGUUAAUAGAGCAGCAUUGACCUCAACGAUACUUCUAUGCUCUCUAUUGUAAUAUUACACUUAAGGAGCUCCUUCGUUAAUGCAGGAUAUUAAACAAAGCUCCUGUGUUAUAACAUCAAGAAAUAACACAGUGUGUCUUCCAUUGAAGUCUAUUCUGAAUAUCAACCCUUUUCUAAGUUUCAGUGUAUUAGGGAGUUUUGUUUCUAAUGCAGAUAUUUUUUGGAAGUGUCUCUCUUCCUCUUCUUUUUCUCCUUCCCCCAUUUUCCCCUUCCACUCCUUUCCCCCUUUUCUUCCCACCUUUAAUUCCUCCAUUCCCAUCCCUGUUCUUUCCUCCUUCCCCAUUUUCUUUCACUCUUCCCCCUUGCUCUUCUUUCAUUCAAACUCUGCUUAGUUUAAUAUAUACUGGGAUCGGUUAAAUCUCCUUGGAAACAAUAAAAACUAAUCUCUUAAGAGUUGUUGGUGUUCAUAAGUAGACCUCGUUCCUCCUAACCAAAAUGUGGCCUGAUAGCCCAGUUCACACAUUAGAACUGACAGCCCAAUUUGUCUGCCCUAAACCACGGCUCAUGACUAUCCACCCUCUGUAACUGAUGGGGAAGGACAAACUAUUCUCCUGCAGGUUAGUGUUUAUAGUCAGCUCAAGCAACUAGCAUUUCUAGUUAUCCAUUAAAAAAUGCUCAAGAAAAAGCAAAUAUUGGAGAUGUGGAUAUUCCUUCUGGAUUUAGAAAUCACAUGACAGUACCUACAGCAAAGACCAGCUGUCGGCCUCCUGAGAAGUUCUCACGGUGCUUGUGUUGCAGCGUUGUGCCAGCCUGGUUUAUGUUCUGCCUCUAAGCAUUUUUGGUCUCCAUAAUCUCACUGGGAAUGAAACAGAGAAGUCCCAGCAAUUCACCAGACUCUGUCUUUAAACAAAAUUUAUUUCUUUCUAGAUACAAUUUUCUUUUGCAAUUUUGUUUUGAAGUUGUCCCUUUGUAAAAAAUACUCCACUUUCCUAACAGAGCGCAGUAUGAAGUGAAUCUUGAGAGCAGUAUUGUUUAUAUGUCUUUGUUUGAGAACUAUUUACAUUUCUUGGCUUUUCACCAAUUUGUGAAUGUACUUUUUUGACACCAGCAUCUGCAGAUCUGGGGUCAAAGCUGCUUGCCAGCCCACUUAUCUGCAGCUUCUGUAGGAUUAGAUGGUAGGGUUGAUUCUGCUCCCACACUCAUCACUGGUGAGAAUCGCAGUGACUGCAGUUAUUUGCAGGGUCAGACAAGCAUCAGCAAAGAAUGCAUUCAGCCUACAGUUACUUUGUCGUUAUUAAAAACAGUGAGUUUGAAAGAUUUUGAAUGAGAUUAAAAUCUACGACAUUUUUCUUAGUGCACAUAGCUUUUAUAUUACUUCCUCAGAAUUAGAAGGACUACUUUCUGCAGAUUCAAAAGUCUAUUUAACUUGGAAUACCAUCAAAAAUUAAUCUCUCUAUGAUGAGAAAAUAUUAGUACAAUCUGAGGUUGUUAACUAAACAUCCUCAUUUGUCACAUUUCUUCUUUUGAUCCUAAAAUAAGGACACAGUAUUUUUCUAAUUUUCUAACAUUUUCCCAUUUUUCAAAACAUAUUCCUUGGAUUUAGCCCCUGCAAACAUUUGCUUAUACACUGAAAGUACAGUGACAGCAAUAUAAGUGAUAGGAGAAGGUAGAGACAAGUCUGAAGUAUCUAGGACUGUGUAUGAUUGGGCAUCUUUUCCCAUGAGCUCCCAGACAAAUAGCUGCCUUUCAUUCUUGGUCUCUGCCACCCAUAAACACAUACAUCAAUAUGGCACUGCCAUUUAUUGCAGAGUGCUUGAAUUCUUGUACAUGGGUCGUGCCCUAUAUUAUAUAGGGGUCAUUUUGUAAAGGGUAUCAUCCCCUGGUUGAGAGGAACAGGCUUAGCAUCUCAGAUAGAAAGUGUGUUUAGCAGUGAUGCAUAUGUGUAUCUCUGAAGUGCCACUUUGGAGCCAACCCCUUUUGGUGUUUUACUUAGCUUUUACUUGGACGGCACUUGCAUCUCCUCAAUAAGACUUCAACUCUGUAAACUCUUAGUAGAAAAGCCAGGAUGUACGGCAGGAUUAUUUGAGGUGAAGUGCUGAAAUGAUGUAGGUGCUGCUAAAUGGAACCCAUGUGGCAGAUGUACAGGCAGGCUUCUGCUGCUUGGGAUGGAUUGGCACCAAAAAGCUUGGAGGUUGAGGAACUCUCCUGGCCUCUUCACUCAGCCAAAGCAAUGAAUGUGUUGAGAAGCACUAAAAUUACAAUUUGCAGUUGUUGCCUCUGACCACCUACAGUGCUGUCCCUCAAAUAUUUCACACUUCUAAAUCUCUAUGCUACAAAAAAAGAAGUUCAGUGCAACAUUGUUGGGACGUUAAUGUAGCUAAACUAGUCUUCUCUCUGGUCACUCAUUGUCUGUCUUUAAGCUGGAGGUGUUGUUACCAGUGCUGAGUCUUCGUCACUUCUACUCACUGAGUUACUAUGUGAGGCUAGAAUAUUGUUUCAUUGCAGUUUGUAAUGUGGCUUUUGUGGUUGAAAGUCAACAGUCUGAAAUCUGAAAUACCAUCUUCAGCAGUGAAUUGUCAUUACGUCAAAUUUUGUCAUGCUUACUAAUUAUUCUUUUAAUAGGUCUCAUCUAACCAACAUUUUUACUUUUUUUUCCCUUCAUUUUCUUUUUAUUUUCUGUGUGUAUUUCUAUGACAGAAAAGGGAAACUAUGAGAGGAGUCUGUUUCCCUCGUAAUAGGGACUUAAUAUAGCUAUUAAUCUUUAUAAAUGAAAAACAUAGCUUUAUUUUAAGCCUCAAUAGUCUUUUAUUGGAUUAAUGAUUCUGGAGAAAGUCAAACACAAGCUACGUUAAAUAUAUUCACUUACUGAAUAAUAUCAAUAUUUUCCUGUUUGCUCUUUAUUGUUCUAAUGAAGUUGAUAUGUUUAUUUGUUUUUCUCUUCUUAAGCAUCUGGUUUCCAUUCUCAGAAUCAUCAGGUGUAAGAUCAGAUGUCAAUUUGAUUUACAGUUUUUAGUGUAGGAAAUCCAAAAUCAACACUGGUACAACUUGCUUGCAUAGGAUCUCAUUGCAGUCCAUGUUAAAACAGUUAAUAAUUAAAAAUAGUUAAUUUAGAAAAAGUAAAAUACUUUCUAAUAGAAAGUCUGCAUGAUACUGUUCUGUAAUCAGCUUAACUCCAGGCUGUGCUCUCAGUGGCAGAACUGUUGUUGUGCUGCAAGUGUUUUGUUGCAAAACGGGAGAAUGUUGGCAGCUUGCAGCAUGUUGAACACAUGCAGGCCCUAGAAAUCAACAGAUAAUAUGAGACCAUCAUCCUUGUCUUUUUGUUUCCUCCUUUCCUUUUUCUAGCCAAGAGAGAGUCCAUACAGCAGGGCUGUUCUUGUCAUUUUUAGUCAGCCAUAUCAAAAUUAUGUAGUGCAUCACCAUUGCCCUUUGUCUCUUUCUAAUACUUCUCUUCAGCCCUGUGGGUGACUGGCUUAAGAAGGACUUUCCAGGUGGGUCAUGUCUUUCGUUCUGGUCUGAAUCAGUCAACAGAUCUGUCUUAUAUCAUGUAUUAAACAGUUGUUAAAACAUGUAUUAAACAUGUUGCUUUUCAUGACAGGCUGACAGAUUGGGUUUACAAUGGUGUCCAGUGUCUGAAUUUUCUGAAUUCCAUCUCAUUUUUGUAUUUUCUGUAAUUCAACGAAAGCUUAAGAAACAGGCACCUUAGAUUUCCUUGUGUGGCCGAUCUUGGGGUUAUCCACUGAAAUAUGAGAAGGGGAACAUAUUUGUCAUAAGUCACUAGAACUAUUACAUUCCUGGAUAUAGUUUGUGGGAUCAGUUAAAAUGACUUAAGACAUAGCAUAAAUAUAGUAUGGAUCCAAGCUGAGGAUACCUGCCAUGAUUGCUAGGAGAGGUCCCGCUCUGAACUGAUUUUGAAGUUCACAAGCCAGUUCCUGCUUUCGCUGUCUAACUUUUAAUGACAGCUCUUAAGCUUCCAAUUUCAAGACAGACGGGAGUGCUAGUUAUUGAAACAGAAAAAUGAAUAUUUGCCUUAAAAAGUAAAACGCUGAUUUAAAAUACCUGUUAUAAUGUCAUGCUUUUGUGAAUUCUCACCUGAAGAUGUAAUAGAAAAGUUUCCGCUACUUUAUACCUCAGGUAAAGGAUCAGGCUGAGAAGGGAAACUGUAGUCAGGGGUGUCAAACUCAUUUUCAGUAGGGGCCACAUCAGCCUUGCAGUUGCCUUCAAAGGGCUGAAUAUGAUUUUAGGACUGCAUGAAUGUAACUACUCCUAUAUUUAUGCUCUAGGUGUAAUUCCCUUAUUAUAAAGGGGCUGAACAGGCCCCUCCUUUUCAACAUCCCUGAAGAGCAUCACCCCAAAAUACAAAUCUCUGGCUGUAUUCCAGACAAAAAGAGAAGUUGGAACACCUUUGAGGCUGGUGUGUACAGGUGUAGUGUUUGCUGAUGCUUUUGGUGUGACAGCGCAUGUCACAUGCCCCAUUGCUUGGUGUUGGGUGAGAUGCAAGGGAAUGCAGUAAUCAGAGAACAAAGCCACAGACUAGCUAAGAUGGCAUAAGAUUCUUCUUUCUUCUCUUUUUGUCUUCUCCAAUUUUCAUGAUUUUCUAUUAUUUUUCCUCUUCAUACCACAAUUGGAUCAGAAGAAUGCUGAUGAGGAAAUAGUUGCUGCAAGCACAUAUCCUUCAGGCAGUCUUUUUCUUGCCAGGUCGGAGAGAGAAUCAUUAAUUUCUUGAGGUUCUCAUUACUUGACCUGCAAUAUUUUGUGCGUACUGGUCAGACUGAAUGACUGUAUUUCCUCCUGGGCAUCCUGGUAUUGCUGGAGAUAUCCAUACUGGCAAGAUACUUCAGCUCAUCUCUAAUUAAAAUACUUGUUAUGAAGUAUUCUUAAAUACGGCUGCUUAAUGAAGUUAGAGAAAGCAUUUGGAUGCAGAGUGUGAAGGCUUCAAACGUUGGAGUUCCUCUCUAGGGAGAUGCGUGCAAUCAGAAAGCAUUCUGAAUGCCAGCCAUCCAUUCCAUUUUGUUCCCAUUUGUUUCCUCUAAUUUCCUGCCUUUUUUAAUGCUGAAAUAAGUCCUCUUUCCCUCCUCUCCGCAAUUCCCUCCCCCUUUAUGGAAUAGCCCAUGACACGUGCCUCUAAAGUGGCUUCUUGGGAAUUUGCAAGUCUUUGAAUGUGUUAUCUGAUUAAAGGGAUGUAUGUGUCUUUAAUUCUCAUCUGCAGUUCCACCUUUGACCCCAUCUGUUAAAGUGGAAAGGAGUCGAGAGUCAGCAAAGUCCCAGAUUCAACCCAGAUAACCUGCAGUGUGCACAUUUGAAUGCUUUAACUCUUUGGUUGCCCCUGAAAACCACAUGCUUGAUUAAGUGACAGGUUUGAUUGGAAAAUGUGGCAGGUCUGAUAUGAGGCAGGUGAAUUGUUUGUUUUGUUGAUAUGCCUAAGGUAGGACAAUUUUGUUCUGGCUUCACCUUUUAUAUUAAAGAACGAAUGAACGUAUAUAGUUGUGUGAUACAAGCAGGUACAAUAUAUUGUUUGUGUGUGUUUGAUUUCUCUCUCUCUCUCUUUUUUUUUUUUUUUUUUUUUUAAUAGACCAGUGUCUUGCUUGUAGAACAGGAAGGAAAGUUCAAGCCCCCAUAUCUAUUACACAUACUUCCUUUUUAAAUAGCAAUCUGAGUUACGUGGUUGGAAAUGAUGUUACAGUUUUGGAUGGGAGUUUUAGAUACCCCGAGUACCACAGAAGAAUUCAUCCAAUUGAAAGAUUAAAAAAGCAGAUGACCCAAGUGUCAUUUUCAUUUGUAUUUUGCUAAUAUUAUGCAUUUUCUACAGAACAAUAUGAUUGUGACAUUUCCUGUGCUUUGCAGACAAAUAAUAGAAUACCCUAAUAGACUAGAAUACUGCAAUACGUUUAGACCUCUGUAUGUUUUCAUCUUUCCUCCAGCAGUUUUCUUUCCUAGCUUUCAAACACUCUUAAAACAUGGAUUUUUCAGUAUUUCAGAUUUAUCUCUAUUCUCCAAAAGCUAGAGCCAAAUUAUUCCCCCACUUACAUCUGUUCAACUCUGGUGGUUUCACUUACGCUGCCUGGCCGUAACAAUGCAGAAUUUGUCCUGAUCUGCCCUUGUUUUUUUGAUGGAGAAUAUGGAAAAUUAUCAUAAGCACGGUAAGUUGAAUUGCAAAUAGAAAAAAAAUGUAUAUAUUUUGUGUGUGUAUAUACACAAAUAGAGAGAGAGAAAUAGCACACAGAUAGGUUUGAUAGUAUAUCUAGUGUACAUAAUAUUGUAAAUGGUAUCUUGCUGUGCUGGAAUCUAGGCAAUAUGAGUUCAGUACUAAAGUGUUCAGGUUGCACCUGAGCUAGCUGGAGCCUGCCAGCCUCUGCAAGCCCACUGAGAGCAUCUGUCUCGCCACCACCUUGCUCACGCUGUGUCCUCUGCAGGCUCUCCGAUUCUUCCGACUAUGAGCAUAAAUCAUCCACCUGUCAGGAGCUCUAGCUGCCUGGAUUAUGCAAUGCCCGCCUUCAUUUGGAGAUGGUGUGAGAAGAAGAUUGCGGCAAACGGUUUGCAUUCAUUUUAAUGCCCUCCCGGCAUCUCUUCAGCUUUAAUGAGGGUUCAGGGUGGUGACGACUCCCUGAGACAAUGAAAGUCCUAGAGACACAAGCUUGCUUUGUACAUUCGUAUGGCCUAGUUCAGGGUUGUUGUCUUUUUUUAUUCCCCCCAUCUCCCAAAUAAAUGAAUGGCUUAAAAGCUGAGGCAGAGAACUGGUACUGCACAAAGCCAGCUGUCCGCAGCUCAGUUUCUUGGCCUUGUAAUAUUUCUCUCCAGCUGAGAAAUGAAGAAUUUAAUAAUCAGUCAUGUUUAAUGUUGAUUGUCCAUUUGUGCUGUCUAAAGCUGUGUAAUGCUUAGACGCCUUCGCUUAACUGUCUAAAAAUCCUACCUUUUCAAUUUAUUCAGUUACAGGUGUAUUGGAUUACUCUAUCAAGUGUGGAAUAUCAUGUCGUAUAACCCAAAUUUAAAAUACAGUUCCUCUGUAUAAAGUUCUCUCACUAACAAAAAAAAAUUGACUGUCUGUAAAAUUGUCUUGUUUCAGCUUGUUAGACAUGAAUUAAUUAAAUUCCUUCUUCAUUCAUAAUUUUAAUCAUGAAUUAUAUACAGAAUAAAUACGGGUAUCAUAUUUGUUCAUAUGUAUAAACAGGAGAAAAAAUUGGAGGUUUUAAGGCAAAAGCAGUGCAGGUCCUUUAAAAGGCAAAUAUUGAAGGCGAUGAAGGUAAGUUGCACCUUCACACCUACAGUAUCUGUCUGUCCCUAACAUCAAACAAAUUCUACCAGAUUCUUGCAGGUACAGCCUUUAGACGGUAACCUUAUAUGACAGUCAACCUCAUGUUCUUACUUGCCCAAAAAACACUAGGUAGUACUAAUACUAAAAUACUUAGUUUUAAUACUAGUCAGUAGUUAGCAGAGAAAGUUCACAUGUUUGGCAUUUUAACACUACAGUUUCACUGUUUUCCACAAAUAUUUAAGGAAUUAAUCUUGUUUAAUAACUUGGAAGAACAUUGGGCUUGUGCAACAGGAUUUUUCUGUAGUCGAUGCGUCAUAAGCUUGUCAACAAUUUAUUCAGAUAAUAUUUUAAGUGUUAGAGCAUUCCUGUGAUUUAGGCACUAAUAUCCCCAUUUUACAGUAAUUAACCUAAGGCAAAGAAAAUAAAAGUUGCUUAGUAAAGAUCACAUGUGGUGUUAGAGGCACUGCUAGAAGUGGAGCUUCUGCUCUGAGGUUAAUGUGUCAUUCAGCCUGGGACUUCAAAGUCCAGCUGUUGCCACCCCUUUCUCAUCCAAUGAUGGUGAGAAAGCUUUAUUGCUUGUUGGUCUUGGGUUUUAUAUUUCUUUUUAUAACACUUCCCUUUAUAUGUGGAUUCCUCAAUCAGCUACUGAUGAAAAGAAUCCUAAAGGCGAAGUCAAUUUAAGGCCAGCUUUUCUCAGCAGGAAAAAUAAAGUGCUCUGUUUCAAUGUACCUGUAUAUUUCCUGUUGAUGUUUAUGGAUGAUGCUUACACCAGUGCAAAGGAAUCUCUGUUGCCAAAAUAUUUUAUAUUUUCCUCUGGGUGAAAAUUUCCUCAUCUGACCUGUCCCACUGGUGGCACCUGAAUGUGGAAUACGUAGAGCUGCAGUGUAUGACAGUCCCCGAGAGCUCUGCCAGUAGCUGUGUUCUCCCCGCUUGGUCUGAAAGCCAGAGAAUUACAUGCAACCGGGCCACACAGAGCAAGGGACACUUUUUAAUAGCCUGUUUGGGAGAGAGUGAAGACCUUGAACGAAUCAAGUGUGUAGACUUUGAGAUCUUUACUGUGAGCCUUAUUUGCUUCUGGUAACAAGCUAACCUCCCAUGCUAUUCCCUCCCCCGUCCAGUUUUAAUUUGAUGGAAAGCCAACAGUGCUGCAGUUUUAUGCAAAGUCUCUAGUGAACUCAAAAAAGAUUAUUAUAUCUCACUUUGUCUUUACAGAUAACUUUAAAAUUUUAUGCAUCAAAAUGCAAGAUUAUCUGAAGACACAAAUGCAACAUAACGCUGACAAAAUCAGAUGAAAAAUCUCACUCUUUCAGCUGUGAAGAAAUUAGACUUAUCAUCAGAAAAGCAUUCUCUUUUCAUUUUCUGAAAGGUGCUUUUUGACAGACCCUUUGCAGUGGACGUCAUGCUCACAAAACAUGCUGUCACAGGGCUAUUUGAAUAUGGUGACAGGCUCAUUAUCAUGUUGAAGACAACUGACAACACUGCAGACUAGAAAUGGACAGGCUUGCCAAUCAGCUGUUGAAAGGAUUGCAGUUGAAAUAGAGGUUUUUUUUGUUCUGGGAACAGUAGUACAAAUUGACUACAUUAAUUCUUUUUAUUAUAGUUGCACACACUGUAGUUAAGGCUCCGUCACUGUUUCCAUUAUAAAUCCCUGUUUUCAGGGGUUUAUUAGUAGACCAUGAAAAAUGGUUCCUGUUGAAAUUUUGCAUUAAAAAUAUAUAUUACCCUAACAGAACAAAAUUUCUGUGUUAACUGUGUGGAGGAGGUAGGGCAGGAAAGAGGGAUUGACUGAUUUUUAGCUGAAAAUUGCAUAAAGCUGAAUGCAUUAUUAUUUUUGUAGCACCUAAGAUGUCCAGUAGUUUUAUACACAGGCUUGUGCCUCAGGAGUUUAUAGUUACAGGAUGCAGUAGUGCCAACACUUAUUAUGGGAUUUUCCUGGUAGUUUCACUAGAAUUAGUAAAGCACCAAACAUUUUCUGCAGUAUUAGGUAUUUGUAGAUUCAGGUUGAGUAGUCAAACAAAUCUCGAAGCUUUUUUUUUUUUUGUAAUAUAAAAACUUGUUUUGUUUUGUUUUAAUAUUAUUCUGGAAUGUUAAAUUAUAACCUGAGAUUAAGGGAAUUUUGCAUAUAUAAUCAGUAUUGGCAGGAAAUUUUGCAUAUAUAAUAAUAGUCCAAUUUGAAACGAUGCUAGAUUCCACCAAGAUACUUAUCAAUUUACGUGAAGUGCGGAGUUAGGUGAAAUUUCUCUGCUUUGAAUCCAAGUGGUAGUCCUGGGAAAUCCUACUCAUCUUCUAACCGUGAAAUUUCCUGAUAUACUCGUGUUGGAGUUCAUGCCACUGGAGUUUCUAUAAUGCCCUUAAAAUUUCUGUAGCCAUCUGCAGUGGCAUACUUCUGUGCAAACACAGAAAUACCUGGGUUUUGACAGGUCUGAACAGCUUACUAGUUAUCAUCUGUUCAGCUCUAGAACCAAAGAUGUUCCUCUGAGUCCCCUGAGAGCUUGAUCUGGCGGGUGUUCUCAGAGCACACCUUCACCCUUCAGCAGGCCCAUACAAAAUAUGGUUUGUCCACGUUGCUUGCUUCUGUAACGUACUGGUGAUCCCACUGCUGUGCCUCAGCAACUCAAGGCCGGCCACCGGCAUGUGGGAAGGGAGAGAGGUGGUUUCUGCAUCCAGGAUGAUUUCUUUGUUUUGUCCAACAGUUUUGCCAUAAUACAGAAUGAGUGUUUUCCCAGGAGCUGUGAUCCCUUCUUAUUCCUUCAGAGAGAGGAGAGCAUUAAAUCUGUUUAAGUGCUCUAAACCCAAAGGAACUGAUGCUACUAUAUUUUCUAAUUGAAGAAAGCCAGGUUUGCUGGAGAAAAGGCUUCGUGACCUACCUUCCUGCAGGAAUAGGAAUAGGUGUCUAUGAAUCCUGAACGGAGCAAUACAUUUCCAGGAAGCCUGGAGGGAUAGAUCUGGAAGUCACUUAUAGAUUGACUGUACAAACUAGAUGCAGAUGGCAGCAGUGUGUGCACAUUGGCUUAUUUAUAUUUUGCCCUGAGAUGCCCAAGUUCCCUGAUGCUCUGCACAUGGAACCUGGAUCUCUUCGCAGCUUCCAGCUCUGUUUGGUUGGUCAGAUGGAAGAAGCUAGGCAUUGUGAUAGGUAGAAGGUAAAUAUCCCUUUGUUAGAUUGAUUUUUAAGUGUAAAGUGAGAUGUUGAAAUAGAAAAAGACCACAUGUAGACCCCUCGGGUACUAAAUUAAUUUUUCAUACCAUUUGAGUCUUUAAUAUAUUAACUAAAUUUGAUGUGAGGCUGAUCUGGAAAGAAGAUACAACUUGGCCAAGUGUAUUUUGCAGAGGGCUUUUCAAGGAAAAAUAAUUUUACUUGAAGUUCUGUGGCUUCAAACAUUUGCAGGCUUAAUUGAUGCUCAUUUGAUUACUUGAUUUCAAAGUACAAUCCAUUUACCUUAAUGCAUAUCAGUGUUCUCACAACUUCGAUGAUUGCAAAAUUGUAAAUGUGAAAAUGGAAGUCACUUUUGAAAAUUAAGUCUGCAGUCCGAUUUGCAAAGUCAGAACUGUGACUCUCAUGAAUUACAGCCCUACAGAGCAGAGGACUAUAUCAUCAUAUUGCCGCAGCUAUUAUGUCACAUGAAUAGUAGGAGUGCUUGAAAUAUUUAAAACAUUUCCUGGUUCUCUGUUGAGGUCAGUCUUCUGUUUCUAGGAGGAAAUGUACUGAAGAUACAUCAACUAAUGCAGGAUGUUAAGCCUAAAAGGUAGUGUUCAGUUGCAAAUUCUUACGGACAAAUUUUUUGUCUUUCUUUUUAUGAAAUCAAGGCUCUGUUAAAGUCAGUGACAAAGCUGCUGUUGAUCUGGGCGUAGCCAGGUUUCUGUGGAGAGAGUAAUUCUAGUCGUUAAAUCAGAGGAUUGAAAUCAGGACCAAUUUCUAUUCUGGAACAAGUCGCUUCUACUUUGUGUGCCUCCAGCAAAAAUAUAGUAGAUAAAAUAAUAUGGAGCUAUCUCAGUGGCAUGUUGUGAGGCUUAUUGAAUUAAUAUUUAUGGAACACUUCAAGAUUCUUUGAUAGAAAGUGCUAUAUAGCUGCAUACUAUUACAAUAAAAUCCUGAAAAGCAAAUCAAUCUGGAGUUAGUCUUAUCUCAUCUAGUUAUAACUAACUAUUGGAGCUGUCUAUCAUGUUAAAGAAAAAAAAAUCAAACUUAGAUCAGAAAUAUUUAAAAAUCCUACAAUUACGUGAAGAACUCUGGGCUUAAUAUUUCAACUGGCUUUUAGUUUUUAUGGUGAAAGGCCCUUUUUUACUAUUUUCCCAGCUAUAUUCGUAGUUGAAACCAACCAUAACGUAGUAACUUUAUGUGGUUUGGGAGAGUAAAUUAAUAUUUUUUUCUGAUGCUGUAAAUUGCUUCACAGAACACACAUCCUACACCUAGUCUACUAGACAAGUAAAUAGCAUUGUCUUUUUAGCAUUGUUUCUGAUGAUUCCUUGUAUGAACAAGUAGUAUUGAUUUGUUGAUGCAGGGGUUUUUGUUGACUAAGUAUUUUUAUAUUCGCUUUGGAAAAGAAAACAAAUGUUUUUACCAUUAAAAGUUGUGUUGAUUUGAAACGAGCUAUGCAUGAGGGUGGACUAAUUACCUAAUUUUUCCUCUCAUCAAUCAAACUCUCAUUACCUUAAGCAUCCAUCUGAAAACUUAGCAGAAGUCCUGAACAGCAGUCUUUAAAGAAAGUGUUAUAAACAAUGCUGCACAGAAAAAAAAUACGUGUACUGAAGAGACAUUGGUUGAAUAAAGUUAUUCAUAUCGUGCAACAAAGCAGCUUGUCAAAUGUGCAGCUUAAUUUUGCCGAUCACCAAGUGCUGGAAGAAAACUCUGAAAUCUAGGCUAUGAAGCCUGGAGGAUAUUGAUGUUUUAGCAAAACAGCACAGGCAUGGAAUUUUCUUUUUCCCCAGGACUGACCUAGUAAAUUGUGCAAGCACCAGGAGAAAUUUUGCCACCUGUCCCUUAUAAUCAAGGCCUGUCCCUCACUUAGUCUCAUUUCAGUGAUAUAAUUAAAUGACACCAUUUUCCCAUUUAUGUUGCAUGAACAUGCUGCCAGAAUCCUAUAGUCUUAUCCAGGUACCCGGGAAUGUGACUUAAUUUGUUUCAUCUAAAGCCAAAAAAAAUAAUCAUUUGAACAUGGUCCCCUGCCCUAAUAGCUAACCCAGCACGGUAUAUUAGAAUACUAUUGUUGCAGCAUUCAUUGCAAAAAUCAAUAAUCCACUAGAUGGAGCAGAAUAGAAGUGUAAAAACUAAGUUAAGCGUGUUAUUUUAAGAAACAGAAUUGAGUGUCAAAGUGGCAGGACCCAGACAAAACAGCAGAACCACACAACAGUGUUAUUUUUGCAGUGCAUAGUUCCUUAAAAUCAACUAGCUUUACAGUCACUCAUGGAUUAACGUUACAGUCCUCAUUUGGUGGUCUCUGUUUUUCUGUAAGCAAUAAAAUGAGGGUUCAUCUCUGCUCUAGAAAAGCGGAUGAUGGUAAAAGUUUGGGGAAUAAAGAUCUUGCUUGAAAAGAUAAUUUUUUUUUCCCUUCCCCAAAGCAAAGACCAUUUUUUUUUUUCAUGGAGGAAUCAGGUCACAUCGUUAGACAAAUAAAGGAAUCAUAAGAUCGAGACUCAGGUAAAUGAUAGAAGGAAUAAGUUCUUAAAAUAUCCUGAAGUUCAUGUCAUUUGAAUCUCUUGAACCUUUAAAAUAGGACUUGAAAGCGUGUUAGAUAUUGGAAAAUAGUAAGAUGAGCAUUUCUAAUUAUACUAUCACUUCCAGCCUUGUUAUCAAAAUGAGUCUUGUUAUGAAAGACAAAAAUGUUUCUAGAGUCAUGGAGAAUUCAGCACUGCAUGCAGAUAAUAUGCUAUAAAAAUAUCUAAAAAUGCAGUCAGUUUUUUGUCUUUUAUGAUUUGGUUUUGGUGAACAAUGUGACAUGUGGAUAGCAGUGUUUUGAUUGGUUUGGGUUUUUUUGUUAGUUUCUGCAGCAUUCGGAAGUCAUGAUCCCUACAGAGGACAAAAUGCUGGUGUUGACAUAACUUGCUGUAUUUUUUAGUUAGUGACAUUCUUUUAUUUCUCUCUGUCCAUCUAUAGCAAAGUCAAAUUAGGAAUUUUACUGAAACCUUCAGGUUGUAUGCUGAAAAGAGAGAAAUGCGAACUCCACUUUUAGACUUUGAUGUGUCUUUGAAUGUUUAGAAGGAAGAGGAAGAAAAAGUAAAGUGAAAAGAAGCAUAAGGCUAAUUGUAUUCUGAGUAAAUAAGACUACAAGGAUAAUGUCUUCAAAGCUGUGCACUACAUGAAAUGUUCAAGCACUGCAUGGGUAUUUGCACAUGAUUAAGAUUUUCCUUCAGGUGUUUGGUCAGCUGAGAUUCCCUUAAGUUUUAACCUGGUUUUGCCAGCAACAAACAUCUAUGUUAUAGUGGUUAUAAUCCAGAGGUUGUUACUCAUUUUGUGGGUAAGCUGAAUUAUCACGACCAUGGAGAUAUUGGCUGUAAAAUCACGACCUUUUUCAUAUAAAUAAGCCUUACAUUAAUAUCCUCAUUAAAGAUCUACAGGUGAUGUGAUGUUGAUGGCAAUCUUACCAGCAAGUACAUUGAUGAAGAUGUCAGAAAAGGCUCCAGUGGCACAAUUCAGCCAGUUUCUGCUCCCAGCAUAACUUGGGCAUGACCUGUGUAUUCUGACCUAGGUCUCCCAUAAAAAGGCGAUGUGAAGUGGUUGGUUGAUGGAAACAUGAAAGAGAAGAAUUGCUCAUGGUGCUUUUGGAGUUACAUACUUUGCAAACAUGAGGAAAGAUAUAGUCAGUAUUUCAGGGAAACGGCUAUCAAAUUUGUUUUGCUGACAUCUGUAAAUGCGCUGCUUUGCUGUCUAAGCAAGGCUUUGAACCAAGGUCUCCAGAGAUGAAAGCCUCAGGCAUUACCCAAUUGCAGUAUCUCAUCCUCAGCUUUGUAUUUAAUAAAAUGCUUUAGAUAGAUGCAGGUGAACUUUAUUUGCUUAAUAUUGAUUGCUUUGCCUUCUUUGAACAAAGAAUUGUAGGAACUUUGAUAAAUUAAUUUUAAAAGGUGUCUAGUUCCAUAGUAUCUUCUGCAUAUCUCUGUGUAGGUGAAGUUGCAUUCUUCAAAUCACAACAGGUAGACUUCCCACAGAAUAAAUGUGGAGGGGUUUUUUUUGUGUUUGUUUUCAUUUUGUUGUUGUUGUUCCUUUGUUGGUUUGGGGUUUUUUUUGUGUGUGUGUUUUUGGUUUUGUUGUUUUGGUUUUUUUCUCUAAACAGGAACUUAUAACUAUUGCAAGCUUCCCAUUCUCAGCUCUCUAACCACCCCCAAAUGCUUUGGUAUAUUAUGGCAGUACAACCUGAAGUUUUUUCUUUCCUUGCAAAGCAUUCUUAGCUGAAACUCUAAUUUUCAUGAUGAGGCAUAUUCCUGUUGCUUCCCAUCCUAAACUACUGCAAAUCAUAUCUGAGAGCUAUCUGCUGGAUUUCUCCCCAUGCUUAUGCUCUUUUUUUCAAGAUAUGAUUGACUUGUGAAGUACUUUUGGAUUUGCUGUUGCUACCAAAAUAGCAGGUGUUAACAUUUGUAGACAUGCACACACUUUGGGAAAAGCCUGAACUUCUUCAUUACAAGCUGUCUUUUCUUUCUAUUCUUCUCCCUUUCCUCUUACAACACAAGUAGUAGUUUUGUCUAUCGACAGAUGUCUUUUUUCUUUAUUCCCGCCAAGUGUUCACAUACCCAUUUAAUGUAAAUCAGUACAGUAUGUAUAGAAUGAAUAUCAGUUUUCUCGGAAGUGUCAAUUUUAGUCAGAAUGGCUGAUAAUCAUCAAGCUUUCUUAAAACUGUGAAGCUGUUUGGCUUCAGUUUGUUUGAACUGGUGCAUCAGCAUGAGCCCAUGGAUUACAGUCCACAAAGGUCUUUGUGUAAUAGAGUCAUAAGUUAGUGCUUCUCUCUUUCUUCCUUCCGAUGUUGACCAGCCACCAAGAAUCUUCCGAGGUCGUGUUGGGACGGGAUAUCUGAGUGAACCAGGAGCUGUGCAGGAGAGUUGUCACCAGUGCUUUUUAAAAAGUAUCAUCUUGGUGCACAUUGGUUGUUACAUAGUCUAUAAGUAAUCUAUCUCUAUUCAGCUAACUUUUCUCUUAUUUUUGCAUUAUAAAAAAUAUUAUAUGAGCCUCAGCUCCUUUAUUUUCCCUGUCCUUCUCUCUUUUCUCAAGGACAUCUGUGCUAGAACACUGUUCAGAACCCAUGAAUGCCCAUGGGCUGGUCUCAUGUUACUGAAAUGCAGAAGGUGUCCAUGCUCAGCAUGUCUGAGGGAACGUAAUUUUAAUCUCAGUUUUAUCCUUUCUGAUCAACAGUUUCAAUGGCCACAGAGGGCUAAGAUCCUUGAGUGGAAAGUUCUACUGGGUGUCACUGGGACUGGGCUGAAGAUAGUUAGGAAGAUCAUGGUCUCUAGCAGGCAUAGGCCAUAAGGAAACCACUGGUUAUGUGAAUGAGGUUGAGUGUGGAAAGGGCAUCAAGUCCUCUCAAAUGUCUUUUUUCCUCUGUGUUGGGUAGGGAAGAAGAGAUUUUGCCUGUAUUGAGGGAAGAUUAGAGAAAUGAGAGAAUUCUUUGUCUAAAGAACAGGGCAAUAACCAUUUAGUCAGUUUUAUGUUAUUAGUUUGAAGUGUUUAUUGCUGAACUGGGGAGUCUUACCCAUUGUCUACUGUGUGAUAAAGUAGGUUGCAGAUGGCUUUGUCACACCCAGGCUUGGGAAAGAGCAAAUGAAUUUCAGUAAAAUUAAUUUGUGUCUCGUCCUCAGUUUGCAGAACAAAGUUGCAAAUCCAGUCACAACUGAUGAUAUAAGGUGGAUUCAGCUCGUCGCAAGUGUACACAUUUGCUACAGUAUGUAAAAGAAGACGUGGAAGCUUAAGCACAUAAUUCUACAAUACUGAGGAAUAUGUUUUGUCUAGUAGCAAAGUAUACACUGGGCUACAGAAAAGGCUCAGUCUGGUGUCCUUCGUUUACAAGGGCUCACAAAGUAACUUUUGUUGAAGCUGGCAAGAUACACAGGUGAAGGGGGGUUCGUUCUCUUUUUUGAACAGGAGCAUCGGGGAUGAACAAAGCAGUGACAGAAAAGAAAAAAACUGUAUUUUGAAGCAAUUUUGAUUUGUAAGAAUAGAGGCUGGGAACCUGUUUAGGAUAUUUCCCUACAAUUAAUUAGAGAAAUAUUUCCUGAACAUUUCUGUUCAGUUCUCAGAAGAGGGUUUUUUUUUUUAAGCAGUUAAAAUUUUGUGAAAGAACAGUUUUAAGCAGUAGUUAAAAAAAACCCAACAAAACCAAAUAGGACCAAUGUUAAAAAGAGAAAAAACAAAACAAAACUUGAAAAGAUGAUGAGACUGAAUGUUCUGCUUCGAUUGUCCUAACAAAAUAGAAAAUUAGGAAAGAUGUUUUGUAGAAGUAUACCAUUACACACUGAAUUCUGUGAUACUGUUUUGUGGUUUUAUUUGUGUGGUUGCAUGUGGUUUAUUAGCCGUGCAGUGCUUGAAAGUUCUGCUCAGAAUUAUCUUGUUAGAGGAGAGAAGUUACUUUUAAAUUGCAAAACUAAUAGACCCCAUAGAAAAAAAUAGGUCUUAAAUAAAAGCUUACUUGAUCUCAAAGGGACAGUGUGUAGUAAAAGAGAAGUGUCUAAAGAAACAUUUCCAGGUAAAUAUUUAUUUGCAUAGUAAUAGCUAUGUGCAAGGAAUGAAAGAGGAAUUAAAAUCGUAAUAGGUGAUAAAUAAGCUACUCUAUGCAGCAUGGUUGAGGGUCCUGUACUUAGAAAAAACUGUUUUGCAGAAAUAAAAAAAAUGUUAGAUGUUAGAUUUUUCAUAGGCAUAAGUACUUCAUCUAUUCUCUUGUCCGUGUAUACUGAUAGCCAAAACUCCAGUGCUUGAUUUCAGUGAUGUUUAAUGUCCCACAUGAAAUACAAACUCAGUUUACUGUACUAUACAUAUUAUGUGAAGGGUUAAAUAGCGAGAGAACAGUAGUAGGUCAUCUUUUGUUUUUUAAAGUAUUAUUGUAAUACCCUGAUUUGGCCACCAAACAUUAAUCACUGUUGUCUCUUGUACAAUAACUGUAUGUUUUAAUUAUUUUGUGGUACAAUGCAACAUAUACAUUAAUUUUUGCAUAAUGUUUUAACAAUGGGAAUUUUACUAAUAAAUCACCAUAGUAAAUUAUCAAUGCCAUUAACCAGCACUAUUGAUUUACUAUGCAAAUUGAGGUAUAAAUUUGGCCUGAUAAUUCACUGAACUCUUGCUAAAAUCUUGAGACUUUUUUGGCUAGACCUGGUAAAUGAGAGAGAAAUUUUCUCACAUUUUUCUUUUUAUUAAUUUUAACUGGUAUACAGUUUCAUGAAAGUAUGAGUAAUGGCAUUUUCACACAGAGCUAUGAUAUUUUUUGUUAGUUUUGUUUAUUUUUAUUGAAUUGAGCAUCAGAAAGCAUAGCCUACCCCCCCAAUGUGAGAACUAGGAAUUAAAUAGAUGUGUCUUUAUUCAUUGCACAGCUGGAAGAAACAAGCACUAAGCUAGCAGCGUACUUGCCAAAAUAAGUGACAACUACAGAUGUUUCAUCAAAGGUGAAAGCCUACCCUGCAUCCCCUGUGACUGGUACAGAAUCUACAUCAAAAGCAGAGAGAUGAGGGAAGGAAGAAGAGUGGAAUAAGAUCAGCUCUGUGGUUUGCGACAGCCUAUAAAACUAGAAAAGCCUUUACAAAAAACGGAGCCAGACAGAACUCAUAAAAAGCCAGUAAUCUCCUCUAAACAUGGGCCAGUUGGCAAUCCCUUGCUGUGGUUGUUUGUCAUUACAAUAGGAUAUCUUGCUGCAAAUCAACAGAUGAUUUCUAAUAGUGUCGUAUCUACAAACAGUAGAGAAACAUUUGUUGCUGUUUCUUUCAAGUCCUGUGGGCUGAAUUUAUCACCGUGUGACAAUCCCUGCCCCAGUGAUCUUGCAGUUUGAAAGAAACUGUAGAUUCUAGUGCAAAGAAGUUGCUGGAGUAACUGGUGCUGAUGGCUGCUUUGUUGUGCUCCCCCCUCACUGCAACCUGAGAAGUAUCUCUUCUGCUCGAAGUACCUUCAGCAUUUACCCCGUUCAUCUGGGUGACAGACUGAUAACCCUAACACAGAAUUUGAAGUAGUUCCCCUAGAUAGUUAGUUAAUAGCAAGAAAAGUGGUGUAGUAAGCAGAAACACUGCUCUUGCGUUGCUGAGUGAUGGCUUUCCGAGCCCGCUGUUUUACAGGUUUUUUCUGCACAUCGUAUCCGCGCUGUCACGCUGUGGCGUGCCCUUCCUUACCAGGAGCGUGUCCUAUUGCCCAGCACAGCCGUCGGCACAAGCUGUUGCAGACGCCUCUGAUGCGCUCCUGACAUAAUAGACCUGAUGACCCUGGGGCCUCGCAGCGCUCUGUGUAGGGUGAAGUGCCGUUUUGCUGCCUAUGUAAACUAUAUACAUGACUGCUCCCCCCUCUCCAUGUCAGACGACUGCAGAGACCCUGCCUUUAAUAGGCAAGGUUAGAAGGACAGAGUGUGGCACAUGGGCUGAGUCUUCCUUUUUAUAAAUCGGUAACAAUAGGGUGUUGACAGGCCUUGAAGCCUAGACAGGCUACAAGGGUCAUCGUGAUAAGGAAGGAUUAGUAUAUAUAAUUUGCCAAAUAUGGGGCCAGCCACUAGCUGGGUUUUUCUGUGCAUGGCAGAUUAUCUGCAGUAGCUUCGUGGCAUGCGCCUUUGCUGCUGGCUAUAUUUAUUAGUGAUUUUACCGCUGCUUCCAGUUUAAGAACUAUAUGCUACAUAGGGAACAUAUGCAGAUGUGAUGAAAGAAGUUUUGGGUUACAUUUUGACUGAAGAAUAAAAAUGGAGUGUGCGGUAUAUGACUUAAGUAUAAAUACUUUUCAGCGUACCGUAUCUGUUUUUCCCCUAAGGUUUUCACUUGAGAGAUUUUGUAUGCAUCUUCAUUCUUUGUAAAUAAAGCUGUUUCUAACUUAAUUCCCUGGAGGGUAUAGUUAUCCAGCCCAAAGAUCAAUGGUCAACAGAAAAUAUAAAGAGCCCCUAGAUCAGAUCUUUGACUGCUUUGUGGUAGAUAGCUAAACUGCCCACCUUAAAACGUUAAGAGAACGAUAAAUGCUGUAAAUUCUUGGCUGCAGUGAAGAAGAACUUGUUAACCCCAAAGUUACUGGAAACAGAUGUGGUCAAAAUCUAACAACAUUGCUGUGUUGUAAACUGUUUAUUCCUUAAAAGGGAGACAAGAGUACAGGGAUUUAGUCAAUUCUUGCAAGUAUUCUCCAAAACAGAUUUUCAUGGACUCUAUUAAUUUGCAGUUUGGGGCAGAGUUCAUACUUUUGAUCUUCCGAAUGAUUCUCUGCCAAUUUAUGACAAAUUGUACAACUGUUUAAAGAUUAAUACACAUGCAGUUACUUCUUCUUGAUGUUUACUUGAAGGUUUUAUUUAUUAGUAUGGCAGGUUCUUUACACUAAGAUGCUGCAGUCCCUUUGUGCUUCCUUCCUCGGUAUCUUGAUAAGCUCACCCAUUAAACAAAAGACCCAGUGCAAAUAAAAUUUUGCAAGUCAUUUGAGGAUGCAGCAAAAAACAUAAUUGACUUUUUAUUCCAUUUUUAGAACAAACUCUCUCAAGGCCCUUUUUUCCUCACAAGAACACUUCCCACUGCACUGGAACUGACAAGACCGUAUGCAUUACUUUAUUUUGAUACUGACAUUUAAACAAUAAAAUAAAGCCAUUUAAAACAAAUAGUGGUGCUUUAAGUGUCUGAGCUGUCAAGAUAUCAAAUUAUAUAACUUGGAAAAAUCAGAAUUCAUUGUUAAUGGUAUGCACUUAACACAAAGGGUCGCUGGAGUACUAACCAGAUAUAUAUUCAGCUACCAUGUUGGAGCUAACAGGCUAUAUUCCUUUAGAUAGAAUUGACUAUAUUCACUUAAAUGGACUUGACUCUAGUACAAUCACUGUAUUCAAAUGUCAAAAAAAAGAGAAAGAGGAUGUCACGUAGGGUCACAAAUUAUGUUGGAUUUUGACAGAUUGUAGCCUUGCUUUACAAGAGCAGUAACAUCUCAUUUGUCACCGUUUGAUCUGUAAGUGCGGGAAUGAGAGCGGAAGGCCCUCCAUCUCCACCGCAAUUUAAUCGCUCUGAGGCCGGCAGUGGCAGCUAAAGCCACCUGCCCAUGCACUGUACUGCUGAUCUGUUUUAAUUUAAUCGUCCGUCAGCUGGGAUGAAAGCAUAAAUCGUCUCCCUUUGAUCUGCAAACGGUGUGGUUUUUUUGUAAGGCUGGGUGCAGAAUCAGGGAGACAGUUUUCACAUUUAGUGCAACAUAGACAACAUGGGCUUCAAAAGCUUGUAAGUGAUAUUUCACUGUAGCAGUAAAGCAAGAAGUUGUUCUCUUUGUAAAUUGAUACGACAUAGCCUAAGUUGGUUUUUUAGUUUAGUUUAGUUUUUUUUUUUUUUUAAACUGGUCUAGGGAAGGAUAUUGAUUCAUAAUGCAUUAAUUGCUCAAGUUUGGAAAGCUAACCUUUACCCUUACAUAACUUAAACAUAUUUAAAACUCUGAAGAACCUUAAAUCACCUUAUUUAUAAAACAGGGAUAAGGAAAAUUGUUUGAUGGUAACAUUGGAUCAUUCUGUGAGCUGUUAGCUGUACACUGCACAUGUUAUUUAGUUAUAGUAUUGAAUGUUAAUGAAAAAGGGAAAAUUUUUACUUUUCCUGCUAUUGUUGGAUGUUUUGUUUCAAGCCAAAAUGUUUAUUGUGCAUCAAAUAUGGUUGGUAAGUCAAACCUUGCAUUUGGCUGUACUAAUUGAAAUCUUAUAUCCCUCCAUGGAAAGAACGAAGAUGCAUACAAUUGAAAGUAAAAUGGUAACAUUUAGACAAAAUCUGUCUCAUUAUUAUGUUUUCUUAGAGAGUAGCUACUGAGCAAAAAAUUCUGAUUUCUAGAUUGCACCUUUCCCUCUGUCCAUUCUCCCAGCCCUUCACAGCUUCCUUUUUCAGGCUUGUGCUUUCUCAGGUUUUGCACUUGGACUCUUUAAUGAGGUAUGUCUUUCAUAAUUUUGAUGCUGUUAAUUUGUGAUGAGAACUAUCUCCUUUAGCUCCUUGUCAGUCCAAGCUGGGUCUUCCAGUGCUUCAGUCUUUAGAUCUGAAGAAACACAGCCGUGGAAGGGCUCACCCCUCAAUUGUGAGAAUUUUGACUGGCCCCAUAAACUGCACUCCAGUUCAAAUUCCCAAUUGCCAGAAUGAAAAUCAAAAUCUUACAAACUCUCGCCAGAAUUCAUGCAAACCUGAAGAACUGUGUAUAUGCUCUGCAGUGUCAUUUUUCUGACUGGGAUUGAGGUAUGAACUGCCCAGUGAGAUCUUUGAUAUGUUUCCAUUAGUCCUGAGACUAGACUGUGACUUUCCUAAUGGGAUAAGAUUCUUUGUGGUCAGAUGUCAAAACUGGGAAGUUCCCUUUCUCAUAAUAAAUGCAGUGUGUUUUCUUGAUUUUUCAAACAGCAGGGACACAAACCAGUGUUUAGAAGAACCCCUCCUUUUUCUAGGACUAAACAUCUUUUAUUUACUGAACAAUCUUGAGAAGUUUUAUUUAAAAAGGUUUUCCAUCUUCAUUAUUUGUAGCAGGAUUUUUUUAUUUGGCAAAGGGUUCUGUUCUGGGUUGAAGAAGUGUUUAUGCUUUGUCUUGUAAAAUUCCAUUCAGCCUAUGCUGGAAUACAAAUAGUGAAAAAUUGCCUUUGUCCUUCUUUUGCUUUCAUUCCUCAUGAAAAUUUUGUCAGCCUGACAAUAUAAUAAAUAAUUGUGGAGUCGCUGUGGCCCUGGAGUGGGGAGGGAGAGAGAACCAGGCUGCUGUCUCCCACCGUGGGUUCACCUUGUGGAUCAACCGGGCCCUGACUGCUUUGAGAGCUCUGGUGCGGUCUAAAACCCACAAACACGUUUUCCUAAGGAAAGAAAGAGAGAACAGAUUUAAGCCUUAUUCUGAUCCCCAAAAUCGACCUCUGAAAGUGGCCUGGUGAUCCCUGGGGCAAGAGCUCACACAGCAUGAGACCAAGCAAAGACAAACAGUCCAAGCUAUUUGUAUCCCUGUCACUGACCCUUGUGUCGUCUCUUGAGUUUUCCGCUACAAGCUGAGGUGGUAGGAAUCCCCUGGUGGUGUUCAGUGGUGCUCUUCUGAAAUUUAAAGUCAUAUAAUGUUGCUAACAAAGCACGUGAAAGAGAAAGACGUCUGUUCUUGCAAAUAUACAAAUCAUUUUAUCUUUCUUAGUUUCAGAAAUGCAUCUGGAAUAUUGUAUAAGUACACGCUAGUAAUACCAUACAGCAAAAGGAUAUUAAUUUGCAAAAUUCAGCAUUAUUUCCCAAUUUUCUCUAUAAAGUCUGCUGCAAGAGAAAGCGGGAAUUAAGGCUGGAUGAACUAUCAUCAGUUCUCACGUUUUGUGACUUCUGACUUCUUACCUUUUCAGACCAAACCUGGAAAUGGCCAUGACUGUAUAACUGUUUGUAACUGUAAGAGGUUUUAGAUGGAAUAAUGAAGUGCGUAAAUGCAGGCACCCUGAAUAGCGUAAGUGAUGGUGACAGUUAUCUUUAGUUGUGUGUAGGUAAUGAUAACACAUAUAGCAAUAAAUAUCGUACAGUCUUACACUGAACUAUCAUCUAAUCAGUCCCAGGAAGGUUUGUUUCCAUGUUUUUAAAGAAAAGCAGUCUAGACUAACAAAAGUUGACAAACUAAUUUUCAAGCAAAAUUUUUUUCUGAGAUACAAUUAUUUUGCAAGUUUUAAUAACUUAUUUUCCCUAAUUAUAAAGGAUUUCUACCAAAUUUUAGUCAUCAUGAUGAUGCUUAUCAUGAAGCAGUUGGGCAUUGCUCCACUGAGUUUAUAAUUGAGAUGUUAAAUUAGCUCUUCAUGUUUGAGUACUGAUAAACAAAAGGCACGUUCUCUAAUCCCAGAGCAGUAACUGGCAACACUGUGACUGAGCUGCUGGGUACAGGAUGAACCUCUUAAUACUAAACCAUAGCAUCCUGGAAGAUACUUGCAACAAGUCAGACUUUUUAAUUCCAGCUUUAUGAAAGGUUAUGUCAGUCUAGUUUUCUAUCCCGUUCAUACAUCCAGUCCUUCUUGCUUUUUAUGUUUUAGGCAUUUUUUAUUAGAUUUUCUGUUGGAAUUCUGAAUUCCAUUACACUGCAGUCAGAUAAGUACAAGUACAAACCACACCAUGCUGCUAUCAGUACAGUCCUCUCUUAAAACUCCACUGCAUACAACAGAGAUAACUCCCUCUUGAUAAUGUCCUUGUAUCUACUUAGACUAAGUAGCGUAAUGAAAGUGAAGGCAAAGACACAAAUGGUAUACAACGUAUGACAGGUUUGUGGAAAGGGCAGUAACAACUAAUGAGCAGGGAGAAAACCAUUCAAGAGCACUGCCAGUUAUUUAUAGGCUCUCACUAGUCCAUUCAUUUGCAUUGCAUUUGUGAUGUUUGGAUUAUUUUUGCCAGAGUGUGGUCUUGCAUUCAUUCAUACUCUCUGUUCCUCAGUGUCAAUCUCACUUUCACCAGCAGUUACCAGAAGUCCCCUCUGUUGCAAAGAGCAGAAGCAAUGAUAGAAUAAUAUGGCAAUGAUACCCUGGUGGCAAUAUGGUGAUAGUUAGCACUUCUGUCUUUUUUUUUCUUUCAAUAUUUUGGUGUUUCGUUUACAGCUUGAGGCGUAUGGCUUAUAUGCAUUUACAUAGUCUUAUUUGAUGUGGGUGUAGUUGAGUGUACAUCGUGAGUUGUGGUGGCACCAUUAUGUACUGAAUUCUCUAUGUUCAUGUACAUAUACACAGGUCAAACCAGCUGCUUUCUACUUGAGGCACAGAAAAGCUGUAGCUUUUGAUCUUUUGGGACUGUGUUAUAUAGUAUUGGGAAACCUGUUUUGUCCAAUGGGAUGAGUUGGAGCAAAGAGUAGAUACUUGUUGGACCCACUUAAACCUGUUUUUUUUUGCUAUGGUUGCUUACCAUUAUAGAGAACAGGAUUCAAUGACUCAAGUAGUUUAGUCUGAUGAAUAAAAAGCCGGUUGUUUUAUAGCUGGAAAACAAGAGAAACUCUUCACUUCUUUAUUAAUACUUUUCUUAACGGUUUGUGAAGUGGACACAUGCGUACAUGCACAUCUGUCACAGAGUAUUAUGAAUUACUCAUUGAGGAGGUCUCCAUGAUCUAAAUGGCAGUAUUAAAUAUUUACCAUAACUAUAUAGACCAUGGCAGCCAGAAAUGUAUCAUGGGUACACAUAAUUUUUCAGUCUGUCUGUUCUUAAGGCAAAAGCCAUAAAGCAAAAUAUUAUUUAAUUGCUAAAAGAUGCAAACAAGGCUUCACCGGCUUUCUAGAUCCAUAUUAAAAGAAGAAAUAUUUCAUUGGUGAUACUAAUUAAAGAUUAGUCAAAGACUUAUCCAUGUCUUUUACUGCAAAUAUUUAUCAGACCUGAUUAAGUAAAGUAACAUUUGUGGUACUGCCCACUAGUUAAAAAAAAUUUUCUAUGAAGCCCACCUUACCAGAUAAUUAUUAUUUUAUUAGUUUUUGUUUAGUGAGGUGUUACCCAAGAAUUCAAGAAGCUAGUUUCUGGUAGAAAAAUCAAUAAGGAUUCAUUUUUUAAAAGACAGAUCUUUGCAAUGGCAAAUAUUGUAUCAGGGGAAAGCUGUUAGAAGGCUACCAUUUUACUAAUUAAUUUUCAUGUGGAUAAUGGAUAUACACCAAGGAAUGGAAAUAGAUAAAAAUCUCAAUAGGACAGGCAAAAAUUAAGUAAAGCCUGAUGGUAAUAUCUUAUGUUCUUUUUAUAACGUUUGAAUAACGAACAAACAAGCAAAAACAGACCCUAGAAAUAUAUUUUUGUAGUGAUGCUUUGUAAAUUAGAAACUUGGGAUUUCCCUUAUUUGAUCAAGUUGAAAAUCUGUCAUUCUGAUGUGUUGUUUACAUUGGAGACCUAAUAACUGAUUGUUUCAAGACACACAUUCAAGUAAUUAACUUUGUUAUGCAGAUAUUAUUUAGAGAGUGAGGAAACAUUUUUUUUUCCAAAUGUCCUUUAAUUCUUUGGCAAGUUGAUAAGUCAUAUUCCACUGUUUUACCUCCCUAAUCUUAAUUCUGCAAGUGGUCUAAAUCUGCUGGGCUACUUGAAUGGAGGAUUUGGACCUAAGAGGGCUGAGGUCAGUAGUACCUUGCAAAAAAGCUGCAAUGCUGUUUCUGUCUCCUUAUGUAUGUGUCUGGAAACCUUUCGUAUGUCCUGUUUUUCUUUCCCAGACUUAAGAUUUUUUAAUAUAAACUUUAAUUGAUUUUUUUUUUUUAAUUUUAGAACCAGAAUAGCAAAUGUAAGAGCUGAAGAUGUUUCCGGCUGUGAGAAUGUGUUUUAUUUUCAAUCUUUUCUCUUUUCCCAUAUUAGUAAAAAUUGAGUUUUAAUAAGUCAAAUACAGCCACACUCUAGCUGGUAUAUUAAUGAAGAAUUUGGUUUUGAAAAUUUUUUCUUUGAGAGACCUAAGUAGAUAUACAGAUCAGUCCUGGAAUUUAUCUAAAAAUAAAUUAUUCCUUUCUGUUACCGGGAAGAAGAUUCAGAAGUUAUGUAAAGCCUCUGCUUCUUUGAAUGGUUUAUUCAGUGUAUACUUAUUUGAAACAGUUUUCAUUAAUGAAAAUACUGCACAACUGUUAGUUUAAACCAUGUCUUUAGUGACCUAUACAAAGUAGGUACCUGCAUGUGUUCACCAUGCACUGUCUUGCUUUUUGUUACUUACCAGGUACAUUAAAAUUCACAUUUAAAUUUCAAAUGAGCUAAAUAAACCAUUUCUUUCAGAUAAAUAGCUGAUUUUGUUCCUCUCGUGUUAUACUGAUAUUAUGGAAUGUUCUGUACCCUUGCUUUACUUCCUGGCUAUCUGAUAAUUGGGUUGGCAGAGUAUUCCUGGGGUCAUCUUGUUUAGCUUAUCUGCACGAGAAAAGAGUGGCAAAUAAUAAGGGAAAGUAGCAAUAAAAUAGUGGAAAAAAAUGAAAGGAAGAUUUAAUCUUUGGCCAAUUUGAAACAUAUCCUAGAGAAUCCAUGGAGAAAGAGAUAAAGUGUGACUAUGAGUAAGUUAACUAAACACAUUACAGUGUGUGAGAGCAAAUGGAGUUAGUCCAUUGUACAUGUUUAAUUUCCUAUUAGUCUCUGGCGUUUACUACUCCGGUCUGAGUUGGGGCAUCUGUAAAUUCAGUUAAAUACAGUGCAUUGUCUAAACAUAUCACAGCUCCAAUCAGUCACCCGGACUGCUGAUAAGAAGCCUCUUGUAUUAUUGAAUCUACAAUAGGGAGGCUCUGCAGGCGCAAAGAUAACAGCUAGGUAUUUCACUUUAAGUAUGAGAAAAAACAGUGACUCGCUUUUGCUGCUACAGCGCUGACAUUUAUUACUACCCCCUGAUUUGUUUUAUACUACUGAUGUGAAUUUGGUUUCCGGUGCUUUAUAUCUCUUAUUCCUAACUUAAGACCUCUAUCUGAAAGCAGUAAGGAAAAACAAGUAAACCAAAAUCAACUUUCAAAAUAUUACAUAGAUAGCAACAACUUGAGCACUUCCCAGUCCUUUAAGAAUGUCUUACCAUUUUCCUCUCUAAAGGAUGAAACACGGGGUUUUGUUUAUUUUUUCACUGUUUUCUUCCCUUUGGAUUAAAGGAAUUUCAGUGAUGUUGCUUAAGAAAUGCAGCUACUGAAGAGGAAGUGUGAAUCUGAUUGUCAUAGUUUGUGGGGGUUAGACUUUUCUAAUGCUUUAAUAGAUAAAAAAUGAGGCAUUUUUGUGAUCUUUUUGUAGAGCCCUUGCGUUUGAGAGAAAAUUAUAAGGAUGUGCUAUCAGGAGGUAUCAAUGCAGACAGAAGUACUAUGGCAGCAUGUCCAGAGUGUGUUCCAUACAGCAAGACACUGCAGAUAAAUGUGGGAUUGGUAGUGACCAUCUUUCACAGUCCUUAUGUUUCUCAAUUUAACAAUGUCAUUUUAGUCAUAAAAUUUUGGUAACCUUUAGGUGUUUAGGAUGAAAUUUCCUCUGCCCAAGCAUACUACUCAAGGUGAUUUAGUUAGUUAGUUAAUGUUUUGGCUGUUGUCAAGAAUAAGGCUUAGUAAAAAUACAUAAAUAAAUGCACACACACACACACACUCAUAUAUAUAGAUGUAUAAAUGUUCUUUAUAAAACCUCAUGGUUUAGUGCAAAGAGUUGAGAUUAUGGAGGGACUGGUGAUUGUCAAAGCAUGUGCCGCUUGCUUUACCCAGAUAAAUUGUUUCAACUUUGCCCAACACUGCUGGUUAAUUUGAAGGUGACGUUGGAUGAGAACGUAUUCUUCAGUGAGUAUAAAGUCAUAAACCUUAUUUCAUCCAGCAUACAUAUGUAUUAAUAGCGAUAACAUGUCACUGUUAAGACACCAAGGAUAUAUACACACAACAGGCCUUAUAUAGUAGAGACUAUCUAUAUAUAUUGUAUCAUACAUUAGGUAACAUUCAUAUAUUAUUUACUCUUAAGCUAUAUUAUAUUUAUAAUUAAUCAAUUCUGAUCCCGAAAUGUCACGGCAGAUAGUUUCCCAUUGUUUUUCUUUCCUAGAAAUACACCUAUUUUAUACUAUAGUUUAUGUAUUUGAUAUUCUUAAUUUGUUGGUGACUUUAUAGGUUUUAUUUCUGGUUUGAUACACUUCUGAAAGGCUGUAAGUUCAGUAACUUUUCAAUAGAAAGUUCAUAGUUUCUCAGACAUUCACCAUUUAUUUCCUAAGGCUUCUUUUGUUGUACACAUGUUGAAUUAUGGCUGUAUUCCUUGAAGUACCUUAGAUGAGUUUCUUUUGUCUGAGCCCUCAGUUAUAACUAAGUUUUAUUUCUGCUGCUGUCUGAGUGGUAACUGCAUAAAGCUCAGUUUACUACUUGAUGCUCCACAAAUAAAAUUCCUAAAUGAAAUACCCCAAAGAUCAAAAUAACCCCAAACCCAUCAGCAAAAUCCCUAGUAAAUGCAAAACAAAAGCAAACAAAAAAACCGCUAAGGUUCACUUCUGUCCUUUGAAGCAAGGCCUUGCAGGACAUGAUGCAGAUGCAGGUGCUGAAGCAAGUUAAUGCUCCAUUCUGCUGUGUGAAAAACAGGUCCGAUUAAGCAUUCAGCAUCUUGUCUCUUUGCUAGUAGCAGAGUUUCUGGUAACAAAUAUAUUUCGGCUCUCUAGGUGACUGAGAUUCAGCAAAACCCAGCAAAUUUAAGUCUGUUUUUGUCUUCCUGCAUAAGAUUAAAUCCUUUUUGUGCUCAACUGAACACAAUUAAAAGGCAUUCUUGAAUUGUUUUUUACAAUUCAAGAAUGUCAACUCAAGGGCUUCUAAAGGAAUACCACAUAGUCAUCCACUGUAGAGAGACAGGCGCAUUAAUACAUACCCUGGAGGACAGAGGGGUAUGACGGACUCGUUUGUGGUAGGAAACAAAAAUGUAGAAAAGCCUUUUCCUGGACAUUUCAAAAUAAAAGGUGUAUGAUAUUGCAGCUUUUGCCCCUUCCUGCACUCCUCCCUGCUUUAAUAGAAAAUGCUAGCAAUUAUAGGAAAGGUUUUUGCUCCGUACCACAGAUUAUUUGCAAAGCUGGUGUUCGUUUGUGUUUGUAAGAUCACAACGCUGGGCUUUAUUGUUUCUGAUAUAGUGAGCAUCACAGGUAUGGCUAAUGUGGCAGGCUAGCACACCUGCUCAUAGCAUUAAAGGCACACCUAGUGUAAGAGUGAAGCUUUGUGCAGCCAGAGAUAGAGGUAAGAAGACGAAAGCAGCGAAAGGAGAUGGCAAGUAGGAAAACUGUGAAGGGGAGAGAGCUACCAGUUGAUGAUAUAAACAAAGUAAAAGAUGGUGAUUACGUUGCAAAAAAAACCAAUGUGUGCAUACAUACUGAAAUAUAAAAUUGCUCCCAGUAGACAAAAAUUCAUUAUGUUGCUAUGCCUUUAGAAAAACCUGUUCAUUUUAUAGAAAAAAAAAUGUAAAUAACUUCUAUACAUGUGUACAGCUUCUAGCGCACACCGAUAGUGAUCAGCAUGAAUCUCUAUACUGGUAAGAUGUUUGGGGACCAAGGAGAGAUUGCAGGUACUCUGAUCGAAGGUUGAGAUUACCAGGGAAAGCCAAGGUGGAUAUUCAUUCAAUGAGACUUAAUGAAAGCCAAAUUUCUGAAUGGCUAAAAUUCAGAGGCGUAGAAAGGAUCAUGAAUUGAGACAGUGACCUGAUGUGAAAUAUUCCAGUCCAGCAAAGUCAGAGUUCAUUAGAAUACUGUUUUAUACAAAACCACAUUAAUUUCAAACUUCUCAGUGAAGAUUAGUAAUAUUGAAGUAUAUUUUCCAUCACAGUUUUCUUGGUAUUUACAAAAGAGAGCUACCAGGACAAUUUUAGAGCUUGUAGAAGUACUUCAGUAACGUUUCAUCAGUGUGAAAAUUCAGUUUUGUAAUGUCUGUUCUUGUUUUGGUGUAUUUUUCAGCUCAACUGUUGUUAUUCCUUUAACAUAGGUCUUUGUAUUAGGAGGAACUAGUUGCACUCCAGGUAAAUUUGAUAUUAUCUUAAGUGGGAACCUAGGUUCAGCAGUGGUUCAUAUAAAGGAAAUUAAAUAUUGCAGUUCUUGCCAGGCCUGUUUGGUGUCUGUCCACAUCACCAAACCAGCAUCCGGAUUGGCAUAGCUUGUCAUACCAGCAUCACCUUGCCAAGAUUUCAUUAUCCAGCGUGUUACAGGUUGGUUACAAAUGUACGUCAGGAUUGUUUGGAAAGCUUGUGGCAUGUCUGUCAGGCCUGGCCUCCAGUUUCGUCAGGUAACUCCUAAAUUUUCAGAGGCAUUGAUGUGUUUGGCCUUGCUACUGGAGUUGUCCAUGACUCAAAGCAUUGGAAUGGAACAAUCUGUUUCCUAAGGGUCAGAAAAAUAAGAGGCAUCUGUGUCACAUAGAUACACACUGAGGCUUGAUCCAUAAAAAACAUACUGUUCUCCUGCUCACUUCUAUAUGGUUACUCCAUAUGGUUAUGAAGAUAACUGUGAAACAACCUUGAUGCAAGUGUUGAACGUUCCAUAAAAUCAAACUUUUAAGCAUAAACCUCUCUAGCAUCUUCCUUGCCAUAGCAAAGUGGAAUAGUAUCAGUCUCCAUGCUUUGGUCCAGUUCCAAGAUGAAUGCUAUGUGUUACAAUUUUUCUUUGAGCAUUUCAUGUGGCGUCAGUAAAUCUGUAAUUCAAAUGAGAUGUUAUUCUAAAUGGUGAGUACUUGUUACUACUUGAUAGGCACCAUAACCUGGAAAAGAUGUAGAAUAAUCAUGACUUUUAAAAGACAUUUUUGUGAGAACAAAGUUAAUUGUAGGGGUAGAAGAAGGAAGUAAAAAUAAAACUUAGUAUUUCCUUUUGUAAGCAAAUCAAAGAUCUAAUGGGUUGGACCUCUCUUCUCUUACAAAACAGUAGGUGAUCUGAAUAACCAGUUAAUAUAGCUGACUUUUUUUUUUUUUUUAUAAGCCCAAGAUCGUUUUCUUCCCUAGUAGACAGGUUGUAACUAGGUAUUUGCAGUUUUGGGAAGGUUAAAUUGCUCUUUCAUAGAUUAGGAUUUGUUAACAGAUGUGGUUAUUGGUAAUAUGUGCUUUCCUAAUCCCUCUUCAGUAUUGGUGUGUCUUCAACCCUACCAGUUUAAUUAACAUUGAAAUUCUCAUAUUAUUUUGGUAUGCUGAUUACAGACAGACUAAGUGGAAGUCCGUUUGGCAUCCCAAGAGAUUUCAGUGUUAACAAUGCAGAAAAGGUUUUUUUUCCUUUUCUCCCCUUUCAUGAACUCCAGAUAAGGAGUAGGCCCCAGUUAGAUUUCAUUACUAUCACGCACUCUUCAUGGUCAUCUUUUAAUAUUUGAAAGGAUCAUUUGUUAACUGGAAAUGGUCAAUUUUUUUUUCUUUGGCUUUUGAAAUAUAAUUUUCAAUUUUUAAUUUGAUUCAUUUAGAUGAAAUCAUUAAUCAGGGUUGAAACUGAGUUAAUUUUCUGGAAAAUAAAUGAGGUUGUUAGAGUGAACAUUAUUAAGUGGGCUCUUUGCAAGAAAGGAAUAAUAGCUGAAAAUAUGGAAGACUUUGAGAACUAUAGCAGUUGAGGGAUAAAAAACAGAAAGGUUUUUUUUUCUAGCUAAGUGCAGUAAUUUUUUAAAGGCAGAUAGGCAGGGGAGGGAUAUUUCAGAACUAUCACUAUUAAAGUAAGAGUUCUAGAGUAAAUACUCCUAUUAAAUGUAUAUGCGACUUAAAGUGCUACGGAGCCAGAAUAUAGAUAGCGAUUUAUAAAAAUGCUCUUAUAUUUUUACAAACAAUAUGUUUCCCCUAAAGCUCAUUAUUUGCUAAUCCAAGCAAUGCCCAUUUGAUUUUUGAGAUAGAGAAACAUUAUUGUUAGUAAUUCAGCAGAGGUACAGCUUCAGUAGACAGGGAGUGCAGGCCAUUAAACUAUUUUUUCCAGUCUGACCCAAAUUCAGCUACUGGCCUUGAGAGGUCCUGUUUGCUUAUUCUCUGAAGUGUACUGCAUGAUGCAAAGAGAUUAAGAUAGCCAGCAAAAUCUCUUAAAAGCACAAACCAAAGAAAAAGGAAUUGGGCUAGACAGGCGACAUUCUAGAUUUACCAUUCAGGUUUGUUUCAGUUAACUACUUUUUUUUUUAUUAUUAUUGUUUCCUAGUGUCAUCUACUUUCUGCUAAUCUUCUAUUUUUAAAAGUACUUUUGUUUUGUUUUGUUUUUUUUUCUUUCCCAGAAGAUACAGCUGCCUGCUCUGUUCUGAUAGGAAAGUAUUUUUUCCCUCUAAAUGUUCCAGUCUUUGCUCAAAGACUAAGACUUAGUGGUCUCAGGUCAAAAGUUUUGGUGGAGCACUACAACUCUUUGUAGGUUUUCUUUAGUGCUCUUGUGCUGAUUAAGGACCAUUUCAAAGUCCAUCACUGUUAAUGAAUGGUAGAAAUUUUAUGUGUCUUUCCCAACAAGAUGUUUCCUUGUAGGUGUUUUUCAACCAUUCUGUCCAACAAGAUAUUAAAUGCUCUCAUCUGUCUUUAGCUACAGAGGGAAACAGGAGUGUGUACCAUGUUAAAAAGAAGAAUUCUCUAAUGGAAAAGGGUGGAAAAGUUUUGCAGUGGAGCAGAAAGUCACAUGGAAAUUAUUCUGAAGUAUGGUUCCUUUCCUUUUGUGAGGUAACCUUCCAUGAUAAAAGAAGAGAAUCAGUAAUAAUCUAACUUGAGUUAUGCUUGAAAUAUUUUAAAAAUCAAAAAUUAAAUCUUAGGGAGCACAUGAGUUCAGUUUUCCGUUCCCUUUUAAAAGGGACAGACAGCAGCAACCAAAUCUGAACCCUGGCAGACACAAAAGUUGAGUUUGUACAUCCUCAGUGCUAACAAUGUUAAUGAAAGAGAUUAUAAGUACAGGCUUUUAAAUGUCCAAAAUAGUAUUUGAAAGAUGGAAUUUUGAGACAAACAGAAAAAAUGUUGAUUUACAAUUUCAUUUUCAGUUACAUCAUAAUGUUGUAAUGAAUCACAAUGAGGUAAUGAAUCAGAGUGAUGUAACAGCCUCAGGUGAACAGAAUAUGGCAUAUUAAUCCAAAAUAAUGACUGUGUGGUUUAAAUAUUCUUGGGCAAUGCUAACUGGUUUUGAACUAUGUGAAGCAAGUACCUGUUCUCGGCGUGGCAGAAGUGCCUCUCUUCUGGCAAAAGAAGGUCCUUAAGUCCCUCUACAUGAUUAAGAUCAGUCACUUGUCAUCAAUUAGUCAAUUGCCAUUAGUUACUACUAAUGGUUUUUGUAUCCAGCCUGCAUUAUAGACCCUACAUGCUAAUAGGAACAGAUUAAUGGCUUGGCCAAGGGGGCCAGAGGCCCUAGUUCUUAAUAAUUUGUUAUUAAGAAUAGUAGGUUUAUGGUAGUAUUAUGUAGAUGCUAUGAGUGUAUGAAGGGGUCCUGCUAAAUCUUGGUAAUACAGUCCUGUGCCUUUGAAGUUAAUAGACUUUUAAAUCUGCUGUAACUAGCAGAAGCAAGAUCAGGCCAACAUUGUGCCAUGAACUUGUUCUAAAUCUAUCCUGCAUACACCCCUUUGGGUUUAAUGGUAUUGUUUUCAAUAUGCAAUGUAUUUUGGUUUGCAGAAGCUAUUUCUCAUUGGAUAUAUUUACAGAACUUCUUAAAAUCACUCAACAUUUAAAUUAGGUUUUAAAUGUUCACACUGAGAAAACAUUUGUUGUUGUUCCUGCAUGACAGUUAAUUUUGCUACUGGAUUUGGUUAUGACAAUGGCUACUUUUCUCCCAACUCUAUGAAAUGUUUGUAGAGUUACGGUCCCUCCCACAAUCAGAGCCACUUCAGACUCUUAAUACUCAGGAGUAAGGUUCCUGAGAACAUCUUGAGCAUUUUCAUGAAGUUGCUUCCUAGCCAGGCUGUUUGCAGGACUUUGCUGCAUUCCAUACUCGUGAAUAGCAAAUAGCUUGUGGUGCGGAAAAGCACCAGGGAGCAUAAAGAUGGGAUUGAGGCAAAAAAAUGGCAAGGAUUGCCAAGUUAGGUGUGUAGAGAGGGAUCCACUUGUCAAGCUAAGCAUGUCUGGCAUGGUUACUAUACAGUGCUUUGCUGGAGGCAGUUUCUAACAGCUGGCUGGGCUAAUGGCUGUGAUUUCAGAAGUUGCUUCUUCUGAACCUCGUCAAACCGUCACCCAAACCCCCUUACCUAUUUAUGGUGUAGGAAACCCAUCUCUGUCCAGCUUCUUUUUCAUGGUUUUUUUGGUGUUCAGUCCGAGCCAGCUUUGUAUUUUCUUGUCGUGUUUUGUAGUAUCUUUGGAUAUAAACAUUUCUAAUCCUUUCUUUCUCCAAGACAUUUCUUAGAGGGAAGAUUGUAUUGUGCUUUUCUUAUUUAAAAAGAUGUUAACAGAAAUUUUCUUCAAUUAUGCCAUGGAGAUUCCGCCCUCCAAUCAUCAUGUGCAGUUUCUGGGUAACCUUCAGUGUUAAAAAAAAUCAAGACUCCAUUACAUACUUAUUAAUAUUAAAAUUAUUCCCAGUUGGGAAAGGCUGUUUUGUUUCCGUCUGGUGUGUUAUUUACUGUUUUCAAACUGUGCCAUUGAAACUGUUCAACAAUGAGGAACUUGCUGUAUAGAGCAGCCCAAAACAUACAGUGUGCAGCACUUAACAGCAACAUUGGUCCUCUGAAGAUGAUUAAUCUGGAAAGAGUAAUAGCAAUGGUGGUAAAGUGGUAAGAGUAGAUUUCUGAUGUCUUGAAGAAAGACACCAUGUAGAGAGCACCUCGAGGGUGCAAAACGACCACCCUUACAGCCAUAUAUCUUUCCUUUAAAGCCCUGUUUCUUUUAAGUUUUAAAUGCGGGUGCCUGUAUUAGGUUGGGCCUUCAUCCUGAGCUGAACAAGAUAUUAUACUUGUGUGGUACGUUCCUGAUGUGGACAGAUUAGUAAUACGAGACCAGCAAAUAAUUUUUGAGUGAAUUUUGAACCAGAUGUUAGAUGGUAGGAUUACCUGUGCCCUGAGCCACUGCUCACUUGGUUCUCCACCUGGCCAUCUACAGCUCGUAUUUAAGCAAAGUACUUUAAGAGUUGGAUAGUUAAUUUGCUUUGUUUCUAAGGUCACAUUUUAUGUAAGCUUCUAAAAGCAAAACAAAUUUUUGUAGCUGUUAGAUAGUAAGUGGCUUUCUGGUGAAACCAAUUUAAUGUAUAAAAUCUAACAGCAGGGGAAGUCUUUGUAAAAGUUUUUCUUUCAUGUCUCUCUAUUGCACAGCAAACAGUGCUUGGAAUUGGAUGUUCACACAAUACUUAGAGUGUCACUGAAUAAAACAUGUCAAUUCAGGUUUGGCCCAAGUCAUUCUGUACACAGAUGCGAACAUAUGCCACCGAUUUCAAAAAAAUUUAAUUUAUUUGCUGUUUGGAUAAGGAAGCUGAAGCUGCAAUUCACGUGUUUUUAAACAGAGUGUGCUGGGAUGGGAUAACCAUCUGUCCUGUAGGCGAGAUGUUCAGCUAUGUGCAGCUACUGAUAGCAAUGUGGGUUACUGUCUAGCACUGUUAUCCAAGCAGUUGGCAAAGCUUUAAGAGUACACUAAUAAAAAUUACUUAAAAUGGCCAUUUUUAAGGGACUUCUGAAGCUUUUGAAGAAAAAGCACGGUUUGUGAGUGCUGUAGUCCUGCUUCAAGUUUCUUAUUUCAGCUAAGCUUACCAGUUUAAUUUUAAUCCCUUUCAAACGCCUUGGUCAUGCUUUGAAGAUGGAAAACCGCCCCCUCAAGCUCUGAAGCUGAGCAGUGGCCCUUUUUGUUUCCACAAGCCGAAAAUAAAGUGUUUGCAUGAGCUCAUUUACACAGAGUAGAGCUGACAGCCUUAUCAGGAGAGGAGAAGGGGAGCUCUGAAGAUGAAAAGCUAUCGCUGUGACAGAAGUCUUUAUUAGGUUGGGCAGUAAUGGAAUGUGGUGUACAUGGAUGAAGUGAUGGCUACCUAGAGCAUUUAGGGAAAACCAGAAGAGUAAUGAUGUUUUAUGUUGUUCUUAGAUUGUCUUCUUUGGUGAUCCCUUUGGCCCAGGGAUGUUUGGAGGGAAAAGGGAGACGAUGUAAACAGCAUACUGUCCCAACUUUGCUUGGUGCUUGAGCCUCUGCUGAUCACAAAAAAGAAUGAGUCAGAAAAAGGAAAAGUAAAGAUGAGUGAUUAUGUAGUUUGAUAAUUACUCAACAUUCUCUGUUGUGCCAACCCUCUACUAGAGAGCUUGCUAGGAGACAGAAUUUGGUUGAAAGUCCCUUUAUCCAGUUUCACACAUACGUCAAAUCCCAUUUACAACAAAUACUUCUGUUGUUGAAAUUCAGAUUUCUCAGGGUAACUUCUUUAUAGAAUGAAGAUGCUAAAUGUGUAAUUACAUUAAGAUAAUACUUCAGUAUUUUAUAUAUGUAAUCUAUAGAAAAUAUAAUUAACAUGAAAGUAAAAGAUUUGAUUUUUUGAGCUUGCUCCAGUGUGUUAUUUCUUUUGCAUUCAAGGUGCAACACACAUGAACAUUUUGUAGAUAAGAAUGUUUUCACAACCCAAACCCUUUAGAAUUAGUGGUAAUUUAGCUAAAAGAAAAAAUGGAUAGCUAAUUGUUUCUGUAGUUCUUACAAAUUUCACAGCUGCUAUGAAAUUCAAAUAGAGACCUGCCUUGCUUUUAUAGGCAGCUCUGCCCCUCAGUAAAACUAGAAAGGCUUUACUUCAAGUUUUGAAUUGCCUUCUUUAAUGCCUUUAAACAAUAGGCCCAUUUCUUCAUUUAAUUAAAACAGUAAAGGUUGCGCCUCAACCAUAUAGAUUGACAGAAGACUGUAAUUGAUUUGACUAAUUUCUUUUUUUUUAAUCACAAUUGACAAUAAAACGUAGUGCAUUUUGCUGAAGAAGUAACUGAGGAAAAAACCCACCAAACAAUGAAAAAGAAAGAUAAAUGGCAGUAAUACCACUUCCAUUAAUUAGGAGGGUAUAUUGAAUAUUAUUCAUGCUGGAAAAAGUCUGCAAUUGGGAUUUAUUGGCAUGGGAGUUUCAGUCGGAGUUUCCCCUUAGUAAAGACUGCAGACAUUUGUUUGUCAAGAAAACUGUAUAAAAUCACCUGAUUUUAAUAACAGAUCUUCAUGCAGUGGAACAUACGACUGAUCUUUAAGCAUGUCCUCAGGUAAACUGCUCCUUAAUAAAGUGUGAUGGAAAACCUUCCCUUGAAAUAUAGACUUACCUGUUUUUUCAUGGGCUAUGUUAAAAUCCUAUAUUAGGGUGGCAAAAAAGCGCCAAUUUUCAUUGAUCCUACAUCAAAAUGAAAUUUUUAAAGUUUUGUAUAACAGUUGUAUGUCAAAACUGAAAGGGGGCAAUGAUACAUCCACAAACCCAUUGCCUUAAAUGAAGUUUUGCACAUUUACAAUAGUUUUGUUCCUUUGCAAUGCUUACUCUGUUGCGAAAUAGUAUUUAGUCUGGUUCCUCACAUUAAUAAUGUAAAUUAAAACUAGAGCUAAAUAAACCACUCAGUUUUUUGUGAUAUCUGUCGAUGAAUGAGAAGGACAUAAAAGAAUUCUUUGUCUCUCCCCACCUCUUCUCACGGGAGGAAUUACCAGCCUCGCCACUGAACUUUGCCAUUGGCAGGAUGGACUGUGUUGCAAUUGUAAUAAGAUACGUUUUCAGUUCUAAUUUCUAAGCUGACAUAGUUUAACACUUUUGAAAUCUAAUAAUAUGCAUUAGCCAGUUUUGGCAUUAUACUUUUGGAAUCGCCUUUCAUUUUAUGAUGCGUGACAUGUGAGAGCUGUCUAGAUGGCAUCUGAUUGUGGCCCAGUUCAGUAGCAACAGUGUGAGCUGAACAGGUAGCUGUCUGUUCAUUAUGAGUAACAUUGGUCCAUAUAGAUGAAGUUGACUCCCUUUCUAUCUCUGCCAGCACAGGGAAGAUUUCUUUACUGAUACUUCAGACGUUACGUACAUAGUAGUUCACCUGUUUAGUUAGUUGGUUUUUAAUGUUGUGAAAUAUGUUCAUGAUAGACAGAAACUUUUCAGUUUCCCUAUAAAGUUCAGUACAUAGAACAUUUCUCAUGCAUGUACUACUGAAGGUUUUUCUCUAGAUGAAUUCUGUCCUCUCUUUCUUAAACAAGAUGUAAGAAAUUUUCCAGCUGUUAAGUAUAGUAUCCAGCACAUGAAAUGAGAAUCCCUUUAGUUGUCUGUGACAAUUCCCAACUGUGUGGAGUUUUGACAAGGAAAUAGCUUUGAAUAAAUAAAUGGACCACACCGUUCUGGAUGUAGUGAAGGUACCAAUCAAAAUGACAGAACUCUGGCUCUGAAUUUAUUUGAACUUUAGGAAGUUUUUGAUGUGGAAUGUGAUUAGAAGUUGUAUAAAAGUACACUCUGAAUGUGAAAAGGACUGCACAACGAUAAGAUUCUCAAUUUAAAUUCUGCAGUAUGUUCUAAUUUUUGCUUUUUGCUCAUAAUUGAAAGGUCCAGAUAUCACUAACACUCUGUUAGGUUGAUAUAUUCAGGAUAUGUGGCCAAGUUUUGUAUUGAUUCAGUGUUUAACUGCAAGUUGACCCAGUUUCAAGAGAUGUGUAAGUACCAUCACUGAGAGAACAACAGACCCCACACAAAAUUGGCACAAAAUAGAGAAGUUUACUUACUUCCACUCUUCAUAGAUAGUCUGAAAGGAAGAUCACUGAGCAGUCUUAAAGGAAAGGCACAAACUGGAGAGAAUAAUAGAGAGGUAUCAAUCCACUGUACCACACCAUCUCUGACACAAUGGCAUGACAAGUGGAAAAUAACUUAACUCUGUAAAAUAGGGAAAAGGCAGUAAAAAAUGAAUUGUGUUACAGUUUCUAAAACCUGCCUCAAUUCAAGAAACAAAUGUUCCUGAGCAUUGCCAGGGUGUACAGUGUUCACAUAAAUCUCCCGUGUCAGCAAAUGGGAAACACAUGUAAAACCUUAAGAAACGGGAUCAGAAAAUAUCAGAUUUGUUGAGACCAUUGAGAUCACUGAUUAAAAAAGGUCCCAUAUUCAAUCCCAAAGGCCUUCUUCAUAGAAUCCAUCCUCAGUGCUAUCUGUUUUGAUUUUCUCCAAUAAAUUACAUGGCUGACUAUUCCCAGAAAACAUAUUGGUGUUUCUUAUAACUGACGUACAAUUUUGCUGAUUCACAGGCAUUUUGCUGAUUCACAGUGGUCAGUUCCUUUCUUUUUUGCAGGUUAAUUAAGUUAAGGCUGAGAGGAAGAAUGUUUGAAUCCAUUUCCUUUGAAAAUACAGGCAAGAUCUUAUUCCCAUUAUGUCAUUAUAUUAGCACAAUAAGCUGUGCUGUUUUGUUCAGAACUCUCUGCUCGUUUUCACAUACACAGAAUGUUUUAUGCCAUUCUUCUGAAUAUAUCUACUCCAGAUUAAAAUUAGUAAAAAAAAAAACCCAAAACUUGAACAUCUAAAAAUGGAUCCAAAUUUGACCUCAAGAUCAAAAUACCUUCUGGAACAAAGCAAGCGCAUUGCAGAGGGAGGUUUUGGUGCAAAGAGAAAGUUGUAAGGUCAAAGAGAAGAAGAGGAUGAAGCAGGCUUAUUUUGCUUAAAGGACACUCCUAGGUAUAAUUUUGGAUCCUAUGGGAGUAAUCUGUAGGUGCCAGGGAUGAGCAAAAUCUAAAUGCUGAAAACAGAACUACACAGAGACUUUAUUUGCCAAGAGUUCUCAAGACCGUUACUUCUUUGUGUUCAGUUCCUUGUGUUUCUGUAGAAGGAUUACCUAUGUAAUGCAGGAUAAAAGAAUGAGUAAGGAAUUUCAACUCUUGGCUUUUAUUAAUGAUUAAGCAAUGCAGUGUUAUUUGCUCAAGUUGCAUCGUGAUGUGCAAAGCACACGCAGCCUUUGGUGAUCAUCCUCUCAAGAGUUCCUGCUGGUGAAAGAGAAAUGCGCUUGCUGCAGCACAUUAUGGAUCUUGUCAUCUCGUUUUCCUUUAAGCCUGUGUCUGUUUCCCUGAUCACAGACAUGACAGCAAUUACAUUUUUUCAUGAGGAACUCACAGGACCCAGGGAACUCAUCUAUAUUCAAGAACAAUUUGACUGCCCCUUGUAUCCAGUUAAGAAAUUAGAACUUACGUAUAUAUGUGCAUUUGUUUCUUCUGUGCUGUCUUUGGUCAGAGUAAGAAGAAUGGAUUAGUAAUAAAAACAAAUUCAAUGUAUCUUUCCUUUAGAUGUAGAUUAUAAUUUCUUAAUUUGAUUUACAAGGGAACUAAAGAAGCCUUAAAACUAAAUUAUGAUUAUGCUAAGAGCAUUUCUGAUACUCUUGGCAAUAGUGUCAAGUAAAUAUUUUUCAUGUCUUUUAUUUCCACAUUGCAUGAAUAUUUUAAGCUGUGAUCGUCCUCUCUUGACCUAAGAAUUUUAAUGUCUUUAAUAGAAUAGCAAAUAUAUAUGUAAGUUUCAAGUAAAAGCUUGUGUGAACUGUUCUGUAUACUUUGACCAUACAGACAGGAAAAGUAUUUAAAGUACCCAGAAAGUGAACUUACAAUUGCAAAACAAUGUUAGGAGAACUUUGGUUGAAAUUAUUGCUUUUGAAGGUGAAAUAACAGUAUUCUUAAUAAUUCCAAAUUAUUGUUUCAAUAAAAAAAAAAAAAAAAAAAGAAAAAAAAGAA